rnacentral:lncRNA from 1 species
AGCAGCAUCAUUUAGAGAAACUGAACAAAAAGCGGAAGUGGAGAGAGUUCAACUUCAAAAAUCAAAAGAGUGAUGAGGUAACAUAAGAAAAUAAAAUUUAUCCAAAGAGCCUUCACCUUGAUCAUCAUUAGUCUUGGUAGUUCCCAAAGAGUCUCUAACAUCAACAUCUUUUUCCUACACAUAUUCAAAUAAACAAAUUAUAUCAACAUAUCCAAAAUAUUAAUUUUUAUACGAUUAGCCUCACCAUAUUAACAAUUUUUGAAAAGCAAUAGAACAUGUUUGAAAAUUUGGUUACAUACUAGACACUCACCUUUGAUGAAGUGACUAAUUCUAAAUGAGUUGAGGGUGUUAUUGUGUUGGCAUUUGUUAAUGCAGUUCCUUCUUCAACACACUGCAUAAAAAUUAAAAGGAAGUUUAAGUUGGUAGUAUAAUUCAAUUCCUAUAUUAAAAAGUCAAAGAAAACAUGCAAAAUAGGGGAUAUGCCUUUUGUUUAGAAGAAAUGUAUUGUAUAGGUGGCCCAUUUCUUGUUUCUGAAAUGGUAGACAUAGUUUCUGCAACAGUUUUUUCUGGCGUAUAACCCUCUUGAAUAUUUUGGUCCUCUGUUUCUUUCAAACACUGUGUAGCAGGAAAAUGUAAAUAAGCUGUAGCGUAUUUUUAAGAAGUACUUGAAAUAAAAUCUAUUUCUUUUUAGCUUUAUCUAUGCACUAUAAGGUGAUACUAUAUUUACAUUAUUUCCUUGAGAAGGUUUGGUGGUAGUAUCAAUUUCUCCAAGUGGAUGUUGUUGGUUCAUCAAACACUGUUGAUUCGUUGAUUCUUCAUUCACCAACUCCUGUAUUAAGAACAGAUGCAUUACUGAUAUGAAAGUAUUAAUAACAUUGAUUACCAAGUCGUAGACUAUUGAAUGAGUUUUAUGGAGAAGAAAUUUGAUAUGGCCUGCAAAUUACUUUUGAAUUUGUUGGUAAUAUUGCUACUGAUGGUAUCUCUAAAUCCGGAACAAUUUCAACAAAUUCAUGCUCUGCCUUUGGUGUUUGUUUCAUUUGUAUCUGCACAAAAAAAAAAACGAUGUUUGAUUCAAAGACAUUGUCAUGGUGAUUGUAUUCAGGAGUGAGUAGCUUAAGUAAAUAGAAUGGUAUUGACCUGUGAUGCCGCUUCAACUUCUUUAGUGGUUUGACCUGUGAGACGUUCUUCUGUUAAUUGCUGAACUGUACUCCAAAUGUAUCUACCUAUUUCUCGAUCUAUAGCAAAAUAUUAUUAGAUAGUAACUCAUAAGCAUAACAUUUCCUCAGGAAAAAAAAAAAAAAAGAAACUCAUAAGCAGAACAAUAAAACCAAAAUGUUAACUAGAUGUACAAUUAUUUACCUGUCUAUGCCUAAUAAUUAAAAUUUUACCACUUUCAUAAAGCUUCUAUAAGUAUAUAGGUAACUCUAUGUGCUCUUGCAUUUUAAAAAACACUUAUUCAUGCACAUUUCUACUUUAGAUAAUUUUUUAUAUUCUUCAACCAACUAGUUUAAUUUUUUAAAUAUUAAAAGACAUAUAAUUGGUUGGUAAAGAUAAAACAAAUGACUAUAUGACAUCUUUGACAAUGUCCGUAAUAUUUUUUGAAAAAACAAUACCUAGAGAGACAUAUAUAUUCUCUAUUAGUACUUGGUAAGAAAUGCACAGGGACUCCUAGUACUUGGUAAGAAAUGCCGAGGGAAAAAGUUAAAGAAUAAAUUCUCAAGAAAAUUUUGACAAAUGUAUCUAGAAAUUCGGUCAUUAAUCAAGUAAGUAUAUUUCACAUAAACAAUUAAAAUCACACACACUCAAACACAUAUAUAUAUAUUUCUAAAACUCAAACUCUCUACAUCUCGGUCAACUUGAGAAAGUAUAUAUUCAGAUAAAAAAUUAUAUACAUUUUUUUUCUUUUGUAAAGAACUUUGUGGUAGUGUGCUACUGUCUAUACACACAUUUAAAAAUUCGAAGAAUUACAAGAAAUAAACACAAUUAUCAAAAUAUUUUAUAAACAUGACAUGAUAUGUAGUUAAUUAAAACCAACAUGUAAUAAUGGUUUAAAAAAAUAUUGGGUAUAGUGUGUACCUGGUGUAAACAACAAAAGGAAUGACAUAUGCUGCCUCGCUACAGGAGUAGAAGUCAAAGAGAGUUUUUGACAAUUUUGUAUUAAACGAUUUUUUGCCUUCUGAAAUUGAAUUCCUUGGGUGAAGAAGAGGCUUGGUAGGUUGUCUAAUACUACAUAUUUUAGUUUUGGAAUCUCAACUUUCUGAUCUCCUUCACAUUUGAAUAUUUCCUCCAGCUCAUCUGCUUCUUUUAUCAUUAGCACCUCUAGCUCAGGAAACUCUUUACAUAUGGAGACCGGAAAGACAUAUUUCAACUUGUAGCACUUUAUUAUGAUGAGUGUUUUUAGCUUUGGGAACAUUGUCCUUGAGGUCAAGGAAUUCGACAUGUUUUCAUUAUGCAAGUCAUCUUUAAAGAUAUGCUUCAACUCUUUGCAUUCUUCUACUGUUAGAUAAAUCAGUUGUGAUAGACAUCUUUAAAUAGAAGUGGAGAAAACUACUUCCAAUAUUUCACAUCGCACGAUCAUUAUCUUUGUAAGGUUUUUUAGGACAAAAGAAUUUUUGGGUCUCACAAAAAAGUACAUCAUAUCAUGCAUAUCAGAUAACGUAAUCUGUUGCAUCUGUUGCAACCCUAAGUUCAUUGGUUGUCCAUCUAAUUCAUUGAGAUAAAAUAUAUUUUUUGCUUUUGAGUUAUCUACCCUGAGACUUUCCAAAGCAAUAAAAUGUUUCAUGCUCAAUUCCUACAAGUAUGUACACAAAAUAAAUUAGUUUUAUCAUAAUAACAUUUCCGAAAUUCAAUAAAAAUGACAUUUUUAAAAUUAAAUAAGAUCUCAUUUUAGAUUAUAUUCUUAAGUUACAGGAAAUUAAAGGGGAAAAUACACUUCCAACUUAUAAAAAAAUUAUACAUUGAAGAAUGAUUUGUCAAGUUAGUCAAAUAUUUUAUUGGUUUCAUUAUUUUGAUAUGAAAUGAUGUAAAAAAUGUAUAUCUAUUAUAAUAUAUUGAAAUAGACUUCCAUGUAAUAUUGUGACGCGUAGUUUAAUAUUGUACUAGUUCAUUCAAAUAUUGUCACCUCAACAAAAAUCAUGUGGUACAUCUAAAAGGUACAUCCUCCCUCUUCCAUGUUUCUUAUUAUUUCACUUUCAAUUUGCUUUAACACACAUUUUUUUUUUAUUAUUAUUAUUAUUAUUAUUAUUAUUAUUUAGCAUAUAAUCUUAUGUUCCUUAUUAUUAUUUAUUUGUCAUGAGUUACAAAUUAAAGUACAAUUAAUAUUAAUAUUAGUUAAUCAACACUAAUUGCUCCUACAUCAUUAUCGAUAACAAUUUUUCUAUGGUUUUAACUCCAAUUAAUAUAUUGGUCCUUCUAAACGUUUCUCAAGAAAUAUAUAAAUCACAAAAAUUUGUGAAAAUUAUUUUGUAUCAUAUUUUAUUUAUGUUUAUUUAGAAAUUAGAAGACAAUGACACAUACAUUUUGGUCUCUAUGCAACUUUUCUAUAAUAAUUUGUGUUAGAUUGAUUGUCGAUAAUUUUGUAAUUGAUUGCAUCUAAUGUGUGGUUCUUUGUAUGUGCAUUUUACGUGUUUUUAGAUCAGCAAAACGUGUGAGAAAUUAUAUAUUUUUUUGUAGUUUACAUCAUUGAGUUUUAAUUAUAUUUGUAAUUAUAAUAUAUUUUGACGUGUUUAUGGUCAAUUGUUGUGUGUAUAGACAUUUGUGCAAAUACAUCAAUGGUUUUUACCAAAUUGUGCUUAUAUUUCAUUAUAGAGUAUGUUAUGUGUUCACCAAUAUAUUUUUUAGAUUUACCUCGAAAUACAUUUUUAAAGUCAAUACACAUCUUAAAUUUCAGUGAUAUAAUGAAUAAGUUAUGGAAUAUUAUAUGAUGACAACUAUACUAUCUGUAUCACCUCAUCUCUAGAUACAUAGAGACAAAUGGUGUAACACAUACUUCUUUAAGUGCAACAAAUAACUCUCUAAACUUUGUCGAAUAAUAAAUACUUAAUGUCUAUAUAUCCCACAUUUUUUGUUUCUACAAUUGUUUAAUUUCCUCCAAUUGAAUAUUGCAUAGUAUUUUUAAUAAAAAAAUAGCUUAUUUUUAAAUAGAUCUAUAAAAUAUUUUAUAGUUAUCUUUUAAAGUAUUUAUACUCCAAUUUUUAUAUAUAAUUUUAUUAAAACAGUCCCACAAACUAGGAUGCUGCCAUCUCACUAUUAAUUUUGCUAUAUAAUUAGUGCCUUAUUAAAAAUAAAAUUGAAACUCCAAUAUUUACUUUGUCGGUAUAUUAUGUUUAAUAAUUUUUAUUAUUGCAUUGCGCCUCCUCCAAUUCUGAAUUUGUAACUGUUUAAAUUAUCAAUAAUUUUUUUCUUCUAAUAACCAUUUUCACACACCUUAUGCAAUUAACUUUCGGAUACCAAGUCCUUCAUUGCCACGAGAAAACCUUUCGGAUACGAAUGAGUUUUCACGAUCUCACUUUAUUAACUAAAAAAGAAACCUCUUUGAAGCCCAAUUAUUUUCAAAGAAGUAGAUGGAGUUGGAAAAAAAAAAUUGCACAAAUAAUUUUUAAGUGGUUUUAUGUAACAUAUUAUACCUAUUUGCUCAUGUUUCUUAAAACUUUGAUUGUUGUUAGUUAGAGUAUUGUUUUUGCAGACAUAUUUGAUCUCAUCAAUGACAUGAAAUUAUAGUGGCUCCCCAAAAGACAAAGAAGAUUGUUCAUAUUCAGCUUCAUAGUAGUGUUAUUAUUGUGUCUUAAGGAGAUUUAGAACUAUUUGUCGUUUAUAGAUAAAAGAAUAAUGUUUAAUAUUUAGAUUAAAAAAUUAUUUGUGGUUUUUUUACAGACAUGUUUUAUGUUGUCAAAUUUUUUAAAAAUACUACCUAUUUGAAGUUUCUACAUCUGUUUUACUUCUUCUGAAUCGUACAUACACGAGUUAUACACGAGUUGAUUGUGAAAAUUCUCAAGUUGUAUAGAAGUCUUAUACUCAAAACAUUGAAGUUUUGAUUUGUCAUUUUUUUUUCUAACAAUAUUUUGACAAUAAAUUUAGAUUUGUCCUUCCACUUUUUCUAAUAAUAUUUUUCAAAAAAUUAUUGUUUUUGGUUUUAUGAAUCCUAACUGCACAUUUGAUAGAGUGAUUUAUUUCUUGGUUGAACAUUAGAGAGAGUGGUGAAUGUUUAACAAUUACUAUUCUUUAAAAUAAUGUAGUGAUUAGAAAGAUGUAAAUUUUAACAUAUUAUUGAUUAACAUAUUAAUUUUAGUAGAUUAUUUGAUCCAUCAUAUACACCAUAAAUGAUUAAUGAUUAAUACACUAUUGACUAUAUACUUAUUAGUACAUUUUGAUGCGUAUAUAUUUUUUAUAUAAUACUUUUUUUUUCCUAUUUUCUCAAAAUCUUUAAUGCAUGAAAUGUGAUAUAAGACAUGAAAUUGUAAAUCGGUUUAUUAAACAUUUAAAUAUUUUUUUUAUCAGUUUUAAAUCUUAUUCAUUCAUUAAAAUAUAACUAAAAUUUUAACAUAAUAAUUCAAUGGUUAAAAAUUUAAUAUAUAAAUUAGUUGCAAUUCCAUUCUCUAGAACAUUCUACAUAUUCUCAAAUGUGUGUUUAUAAACUCAUAUAUAACUAUUACUCAAAUAAACUCGUAAAAAAUACUCUAUAAACAAAAUCAAAAAAUUAUAUUAUUUUUGAAAAUUUAAAAUCUUAUACACAAUAUACUAAUAUCUUAAAGUCUAUAUAUUCCGUAUAAUGCGCGGGUCAUAUUCUAAUUCAUUAUUAAAAUAGAAAAAUAAAUGUUUUCAUAAAAUAGUUAAACAGACACAGAAGUUGGAAAAAUAAACAUUUUCAACAGAGCCUUCGGAACAUAUUAUGCCACAAUCUAUUUCCUAGAGAUACAUUCUAAAGUAUCAACACACUACUCAAAAUAUAAGCAGAUGUGAGACUUAUAUCUUGCUUGGAACUAUUUUCAAACUACUAUUUUAAUGUUUCACCGACACCGCACAAACAUUGAUUCUAUUGAAACAAAUGUCACAUUCUCAUUUCAAGUUUUUUACACUAAGUAGUUACCAAUUGAAAUCCAAUAACAUUUUUCGAGUAAGAUUGAAAUCAUUGAUUAAUUUGGCAAACAAAAAAUAUAUAAGAAAAAAGGGAUACCUUCAUGAUUGUACUGUCUUGAGAUUUUGAAACCGAAUGAAUAAUGAAAUCACCGAUAGAUUAGAUAUCAACUUGGGAGCAUUUUUUUAGUUCAAGUUCUUUCAAAGAUGGAAACGUCGGGCGAUAUUGUUCGGGACACAUAGCAACUAAACUUGGCAGAUUGCAGAGAUUGAGAUAUUGCAAUGGCGGAAGAUGAAGGUGAAUCUCAGUGUGGUUUUGAUCGUCAUUAGUGUAGGGUCCAAAUAUGUAUUCCAACUGCAUGCAGUCUCCAACGUAGAGCCUUUUCAAUGUAGGGAAGACAUUGCCCCAAUUAUUGCCACUACUGUCAUGAUCUCCAAUGUCUAUCACUAUGUGCUUCAAUUCAUUACAAUUCGUAAUUUCCAAAGAUUCCAGCAUUCUUGGAGCAAUAGACAAGAUAAACACCGAUUUUAUCUUCAAAAAAUGAGACAGCACAAUCUCUCUAAUAUUGCACAUGAUAUCUAGUUGUAUCGGAAGACAUUGAGCACGUUCCCAUAUUUGAAGAUUGUGUGAAUUUGAUACCUGUAACGUAAUCCCAAUGUAAAGGAACUAAAAAUCAAACUAAACAUUCCUCUAGUGUGCAUACAACUUAUGAAAAUGCAAAAACAUAUAAGCUAUAACGUUUCUUUUAUAUGUCCUAAAGAUUGGCUUACAUUAUCUAUAAUAAAUUUAGUGCAUCGAAGUUUUUGAAAUACGUCAAAUAAUAUUCAACUUCUAAUAGCAAUCUUCAAGUUUGGGAUGUUAAAUAUGCACAAAACUUUCAAAUAAUAUACAACAUACACAUUAAAAAGAUAAAGUAUCAAAAUAUAACAGAAAAAUGUGAGAGGUUACUGUUAGAAUAUUAAAAAAUAUCUUAUAAUAUCUUUUAUAUUAUAUUAGAGUAUCUUAAAUUAUUUCUUAGGAUUAAUUUAUAAUUAUAGAGAUAUCUUAGAAUAUCUCUUAUUAUUAUUAUGAUUUAUUCUUAAUUUAGGAUUUAGUCUAUGUUUCUCUAUAAAUAGAGAUUAGUAUUGAGUCUAUUGUAAUCAAGUUAGCAUUAAGCUAUUAUCAAUAAUAUUUAAACCCUUAUUAUUUUCUCUUCUCCUUUUCUCUAAAAUCUCACACUUUCAACAUGGUAUCUAGAGCCUAUUUCGAUCCUCCUUGAACGAUCUCGCCUCUAUUCCGCUGUCGAGUUCCCAACAAUUAGGGAAUAUAAUUAUAGUUUCUCUUUUCUAACAUUCCAAUAUUCAGUGAGAUUUUUUAGUAAAGCGUGUCCCAAUUCUGCUUUACCCCUUCUUUGUAGCUUUUCGUUUAUUUUCAGCAGAUCAGUCGCAGCACUGUUCAUCGCGCGGUACUGUUCACUGCGCAAAAAAAAAAAAUUUAUUAUUAUUAUUAGGGUUCUAUAAACCUUUCCACAACCCAUUAGGGUUUGGCGCUCCAACCAACCGAGCUAAGAGCACCGAGAGGUUUAUCUCUCUGGCCAAAACCCUUAAACAGUCUAGCCAAAACCCUAAUAUUUAGCCUACCUCUCAUUGGCCACUCCACCUUCCAAAAAAAAAAAAUGACUUCUUCCCGUGGAAGAUCGGUGAUGGAAACACCAUUCCGAUUGAAGGAUCGUGUGUUGAAACGACCCAGUGAUCAUUCGGAGUUAUUUGAAGUUAAGGCUCGGAGUGGUAAUGAGAUGAAGAAGACAUUGAAUUGGUGGGACUUUGUGGCAUUUAUAGCAGCUGGAAAUAUCCUUCUUGAGUAUGUUAUAGGAAAUGCAGCGGUAGCUCGAUCAUGGACAUCUUAUUUUGCCACACUCUGCAACAGAGCUCCAGAAGACUUUCGUAUAAUAGUCCAUAGCAUGAACCCUGACUAUGGCCAUCUUGACCCCAUUGCUGUUGGUGCCCUCAUUGCCAUCACUGCCCUUGCUGUCUACAACACCAAAGGCUCUUCUAUUUUCAACUACGUUGCUACUAUCUUUCACAUGUUUGUCAUUGUCUUCAUUAUUAUUGCUGGUCUCAUCAAAGCCAAACCCGAAAACUACUCUCCAUUUACUCCUUUUGGUGUUCACGGUAUGAUUGAUGCUUCUGCUGUUCUUUUCUUUGCUUAUGUUGGCUUUGAUGUUGUUUCAACUAUGGCUGAGGAAACCAAGAAUCCUGGCAGAGACAUUCCUAAUGGUCUUGUUGGAUCUACGUUGAUUACCACCAUAUUAUAUUGCCUACUAGCUACAACACUUUGUCUCAUGCAGAAUUAUAAAGAUAUAGAUGUUAAUGCACCUUUUUCUGUUGCUUUUAGUGCUGUUGGAAUGGAUUGGGCUAAGUACAUUGUUUCAUUAGGUGCCUUGAAAGGAAUGACAAUUGUAUUGUUGGUUGGUGCACAUUGCACGUACUCACAUGAUGCCACCUUGGUUUGCUCUUGUUGAUCAUAGAACUGGGACACCUAUGAAUGCUACUAUCUCAAUGCUUGCAGCUUCUGGUGUUGUUGCUUUUUUCACUGAUCUUGCUAUUCUCUCUAACCUUUUGUCAAUUUCCACCUUAUUUAUAUUUUCCCUUGUGGCCUUAGCACUUUUAGUAAGGCGUUAUUAUUCAAGUGGAGUAACUACAAAAGGAGAUCAACGCAAUUUCAUUGUGGGUCUUGUGUUGAUUAUUGGCUCUUCAAUUGGAAUUUCAGCUUAUUGGAAUAAUAGUACUGAUGGCUGGAUUGGUUAUUUAGUUUUUGUUCCACUGUGGAUUUUAGGGACGGGUGGUAUUUGGCUUUUUGUACCAAUGGCAAGGAAGCCUACAAUUUGGGGAGUUCCUUUGGUUCCUUGGCUACCUUCUUUGUCUAUUGCUAUUAACAUAUUUCUUUUUGGCUCUAUUGAUAAAGAUUCAUAUAUAAGAUUUGCAAUUCAAUUGAUGGGAUUCUUCUUGGUGCACGAUUAUUCUCUCUUCGAUGGUUCCAGAUCUGCCCUUACUCUCCAAUUUUGAUCAGCGAAAAUAUGUGUCAUUGUUCAAACAGCCAUUAUCUCUCCUGUUUUGGACGCAUUUUCUUAUUACGUUGAUUGAUCAUGACUUAUGCAUCCCUGAGUUGCCUCUCCAUUAUUAUUGGUUUGAAGCUUCCAAAUGCAGUUUUUUAGAAGAACGGAGCUUGCUUUUUUCAAUUGCCUUCCAUGAAUUUCUCUCAGGCUGAUGAUUAAUCAGACUAUCUGGCUAGGCUAUAUUUAUAGCAAUUCUCUCCGACUUCGCAUGCAUCCCUGAGUUGCCUCUCCAUUAUUAUUGGUUUGAAGCUUCCAAAUGCAGUUUUUUAGAAGAACGGAGCUUGCUUUUUUCAAUUGCCUUCCAUGAAUUUCUCUCAGGCUGAUGAUUAAUCAGACUAUCUGGCUAGGCUAUAUUUAUAGCAAUUCUUUCUGACUUCACAUGCAUCCCUGAGUUGCCUCUCCAUUAUUAUUGGUUUGAAGCUUCCAAAUGCAGUUUUUUAGAAGAACGGAGCUUGCUUUUUUCAAUUGCCUUCCAUGAAUUUCUCUCAGGCUGAUGAUUAAUCAGACUAUCUGGCUAGGCUAUAUUUAUAGCAAUUCUCUCCGACUUCGCAUGCAUCUCUGAGUUGCCUCUCCAUAUUUUUUAUUAUUUUGUGGAGCAAAAUAUUUUCUUGUAGCAAGCUAAAGCUUAGUAAGGUUUAGCUUGAGGGGGAGUGUUAGAAUAUUAAAAAAUAUCUUAUAAUAUCUUUUAUAUUAUAUUAGAGUAUCUUAAAUUAUUUCUUAGGAUCAAUUUAUAAUUAUAGAGAUAUCUUAGAAUAGAGAUUUAGUCUAUGUUUCUCUAUAAAUAGAGAUUAGUAUUGAGUCUAUUGUAAUCAAGUUAGCAUUAAGCUAUUAUCAAUAAUAUUCAAACCCUUAUUAUUUUCUCUUCUCCUUUUCUCUAAAAUCUCACACUUUCAACAGUUACCGAUGCGAUUGAGUAGUCGUGUGGUUGAUCCCCAGAAACUAAUGGAAUUCUAGUUGUUGACGAACUCCCAUAUUUAUCACCAUGACAACGUAGAUAAGUCCAAGAGAAGCUAUUGCAUUUGAUAGGGUCCGAUUGUAUUUGUUCCUUGAAACCAUCUCCGGAAGUAGAAUAUGACUCACUCACAGGCGAAGACAUGGAAUCCUGGCAUUUUGGAAAAAUGUCUAUGAAAUUUGGUAAUUGACAGAGCUGCAUUCUUUGUAGUGACUUGAGUUCAACAUGUUGGUAUUGGCUAAAUAUGUAUUUCAGCUCAUCACAUUUUCUUAUUAAGAUAGCUUCUAGUACUGGAAAAUCUUGAGAAGAAAGGAAGGGAAGUAUCGAUUCUAAUCGGUGACAUCCCUCAAUAUCAAGAACUUUUAGUUUUGGAAAAAUCGAGUCAUGCCUCUUGUUAUCAUUAUCACCAUCCUCUAUUUCGUCUCUUGAUUCCUCCUCUCUUUUAAUAUCUAUUAUGUUUUUCAGUUCCUCACAAUCAGCUAUUUGCAAUUUCUCUAGCUGCACCAGAUUCCAAGACAUCAAUGGAAAUAGGGAAACCAACAUUGGGCAUUUCUCCAGUAUCAAGGUCUUCAGAUUGCAGAAAUUUAGCUUGCAAUGAAACAAUCUUUUAAAUUUUUUACACUGCUUCAUUGAUAGCAUCUCUAAAUUCUUCAAAGAGUCAAAGGAUAAGGAACCAUUGAUUAGUUCUUCCAAAUUUUCCAUCUUAUCCAAUUCUAGUACAACCAACUUGGACAAAAGACUUGGUACUUGAGAACCAAUAGAGUCAAUGAGACACUGUAACUGUGAAAUACAACUCAAGCGAAGCUCAACAAGAUCAUCCAUACCUUGACCUAUAGGAACAAUCUCAGGCAUGAGAUUUCUCCAUCCCCUCUUAAUUCCUAUUAGUCGAAGAAACUCUGUUGUUCGCAUGAAAUACUUGAACGUUGCUUCUGAAAAAACAGAUGCAUCAUCACUAGCACAAAAACUCAAAUACGUUGAUUGUGAAUAAUUCAUUAUAUCCCAGUUGUUACAAAUAUGAUACCUUUGCAACUCGGGUAUGGCUAUUUCUCGACAAAAACCGUUAAAACUCUCUAUGAAAUACAACUCUUCAAGUGAUGAGCAUUUUUCAAUGACUUCAAAUGGAUUAUUCCUUCGAAUUUCACAAUUAUCCAAGUUCAACAAUUUAAAUUUCCCCAAUUUUGUAAUUUCGAAUGGCAAUUCAUUGAUUGUGCAGGACACCAAAUCAAGAGUCUCAAGACUUUGCAGCUUUCCCAAAACAGAGAUGUCACCUAAAUCCACUUUAUCAACCAACAAAGAUCGAAUAUUCGUCAAUGACUGAAUUGAUUGUGGUAAUGAUAGAGGUUGUUUUUCAUUACCUGUAAAGUAUAAAAUUCGAAGCUUGACAAUAUUUUUAAAGAAAGAAUUUGGGACUUCCAUACAUUUUUGGCUUUCAUCUCUAUCUAUAUCGGCAAUUAGAAUCUCAAGUUUUGAACACUCAAAUUUACAAGAAAACAAAUCCAUGUCCUUCCCUUCACAUAAUAAAUAUUUAAUAUUUAUUUCUUUUUGAACCAAUAACUUUUGAUCUUUGAUAGAUAAAUUUACACCCUGAAUCUCUUUGUUUGCUAUCCAUUGAGCCGCAUCACGAACUAAAUCAUGCAUUUUUACAUGUCUUUCACCAACAUCCAACAACAAACAAGAAUCUAUGAGUUUAUUUUUGGCAACAACUACUUGGUUUCGAGUAUCAUCGUAGCUGCCAUAAUCUUCCCCAAAAAGGCCCGUUCCAAUGCCAAGUCUAGUUAGAAUUUCAACAGAAAUUUCUUUAUCUUCUGGGAAUAUAGAAGAUAAGAGGAACAAUCGCUUGGCUUUUUCAUCCUUCAUAUAAUCAUAGCUAAACUUCAAACAUUUAUAAAUUCCAUCCAUAUCUUCAUCAACACCAUGCAUCACUUGCAUUCCAGCAUUGAAAAAUAUGCAAUCAGGACAGAAUCCAAAAAAACAUGUUUGUUUUGUUUUAUGUCCUCUUGAAUGAGCUUUUCAACUUCCUCUUCCCAGAAACGAACAUUGGCUCGAAUGUCUUCAUCUCUUCCUGUUGCCACUUUAGCACGUUGCUCCAAAGUUUUUCUUUCUACUUCCAACCUAGAUUUUUCUUCUUCGAAUUCCUUAGCAAUGCAUGUGAAGCAAAAUACAUGACGUGAUUCUGCUAUUACCCCAUUUAUCAAUUUCUCCACAUAUGUCUUCGCCAAAUCAAUCAAGCAACUCACCAUCUAAAUCAAUUUCAAUAGAGCAAAGUUAGCCAUUAAUGUUAAACAAAGCUUCAAUUUGACAUUAUUUAGUUUUGACUUGAAGUUCAGCGACAAACAAAUAUAUAAUGAAAGGUAUGAUGACCAAAACAAGUUGUUUAAUUAUAAAAAAAGUAGUUUAAUUAUAGAUGUAGUUAUUUAUGUUGGUUUUUUCUAUUUUGGUAGUUUUGCGGUCAGUUAAAUAGUUAGUUACUAUGCUUGAUCUCAAGCACACAUAUAUACUUUAUUGUGUAAUGUAUAUGAAAAUGGUUGAUUGGUAGUAAAUCUGAUUCUCUGAACACAAUGUUCAUAUUCCUUCUGUACAUGAAGAUUUUCUACAUUCACAGACUUAGUCUGAAAAUUUGAACUUGAUGACACUUUUCAUCAAAGAAAUUUUUUAGUUUACUCAUAAAUCUAUUGGAGAAAGAUCAAGCAAACUUUCUAGUCAAUCUUUUUGUUUAAGAUAUUUCUAACAUAUUUACAAAUAACCACUGCAUCUUUGAAAACGGUAAACAAGCAACUUAUGACAAAUGAUCGUGUAGCCAGGAGCAGUGCAGAUUGAGAAUGUAAAUCAUUUACAGACAGAAAAACUGAAAAUGUAAACAGAAUAAAGGUAACCAACCAUGAAUAUGUUUUUUACCUUGUUUUCCAACAGAUUUACAAAUAACCACUUUCAGCACAUGCUCAAGUCUUGUGAACAAUUUUCUCUAUUUCUCCAAUCUGCUGAGAGAAUAAAGUAAUGUUCAAUGCAAUUGAAGUUCUGCAGUAAACAAAAGCAGCAGAGACUAAACAUUUCUACGAAAACAGUGACAAAGAAGAAGAUGAGUGAAAUUAUGAAGAAUCAACCAUCAGUCACGCUGGUGGUGGCUUGAUAACAACUCCACCGUUAGAAGAUCAGCAAUUGAAUGCGGAAAUUGAAUUCGAAAUUGAGUAAUUAGUAGGUUGGUCUUGUUUUAUUUCAAACACAUGAAAUUUUAAACCCUUGUAAUAAGGGCAUAACAUAUGAAUGACCCUCUUUUACAGAUCAUUCUUUGUCCCAAGUAGACCCAUAAUAUUUUUAUGUGUAUCAAUGAUGUUGACUGUGCAACUUUUUAUUUUUAAAAACUAAAUAACCUUAGGGUUUGAAGAACUGAAAAAUGCAGAACCAGUAAAUGUCAUAAGUUUUCUUUGUCUCUUCACACUCUGCAAUGGCCAUGACUUCUUCAUUCUCCAACAUGUUAUUUCUCUCUAUCCACCCAAAAAAGAUUACUCUUCUUCUACUCUUUCACUACAACCAACUCUUACCAUCAUUUUUCACCAUCCACAUUCUCAUUCCAACCUAUUCACUUCCUCAAGUGCUCCCAUUUUCACACCUCAAACAACAACUGCCAUUUAUGCAACCGAAAACGACGGAGGUGGAGGUGAAGACGAUAAUGGUGAUGGUGAAUCUGAGGAUAGGGAUUGAAACAGAGAAAAAGCGUUGAUUGAAGUACCUUCCCCAAAAUCUCAUCGUACGAGAUCGAGACAGAGAUAGAUCUGAGUUUUUUAGUAAAGGUUUGGUGAUGAAUUUGGGUGGAAGAAACAGAUGAUGAUGCAUCUGAGAUUAUACCAAUUGUAAUGAAGUUAAUGGAAGAAACAGAUAAACUCGGAAAAGGGAAUAAAGCACAGAAGAAUGAACUCAAGCACAAAAAAUUUAAUAAAAGGAAACUAUGAGAAUGUUUUUUUACCUGAUUUUGAGUACUUUCAGUGCAUACCAGCUCAAGUUGUAUGAACAAUCUUCCCCUUUCUUCAAUCUGCAGUAUCUAGCAUCAAGAGAAUAAGGUAAUGAUCAUUGCAAUUCAAGUUCUGCAGAAAACAAAAGCAGUAGAGACUACAGCAGCUGUUAUCCUUUUUCUUUUUUGGUUUCUUGCUACUGUAUAAAGGUUCAAAGCAUUAUUUAAAGGGUUGUUAUUUUAACAGCUAGCUUGGAAAUAUUUAAAGGUUCAAUUAUUGAUCCAUAAAGCCUAUACUCAACAUGCAAAUACCGAAAUUGUUAGACUGAACAUCAUGUCCCGAGUUCAAAUCCGAAAUCUCGCAGUUGAAUGCAAAUUUCUUUACCAUUUCAUAGGUUCAAUAAUUUGUCUCACUCUCAAGUUCGUAUUCGUAAUGCACUCAUUUCAAAGUGUAAAGAAAACCAAUGAACAUGAUUUGCCGUGAAAGUUAGUAUAAAUAAUCAUUUUUAUUAACAAGUGUACACAUUUUAAAUGAUAGAUAUAGAGAACAAAACUGUAGUGGGGAAAUUAAAAUAUUUGGUAGCACAGGGAUCUAUAUAGUGAAGAAAUUAAAAAAUAAUAAUAGUAUUGUCCUUUCCUAUUUGAAACCAUGAUUCUCCUAAGAUGGUUUGGGGAGGAAGAUAGGAAUUGGUUCACACUACACACACAGUUACUAGUUAGUUCCAAUUAAUAACACGCUAUAAAUGUGAACGGUGAUGAUCGAAUCCAAUCCAAUCCAACGGCAACUGUAUAUUUUGGAAGAAUGAAGAAUACCUUGUUGGAUUUGAAUUGAUUUGGGAGAUUGCAGAUUUCGGCGUCCAUGAAAUCAACAGUUUGAGCGAUCAACAGAAGCUCCAUUGCCAUUGCCAUCUGAUUUCGAGCUACUACUUCUAUUUCUCUUUCAAUUCAAAUAACGGCUUUUACUUAUUUUGCCAAAUCGAAGCACACAAAUUAACUAAUUCACUCAUUUUUCUCUCCAUUAAAUCUACAUCUUUAUUUAAAAGAGGUUUAUACUCUAAAGGACUCAAUUUACCACCGUUCUCCAUUACAUUAACCAAAUAUGUAUUUGUCAUUUGGUUAUUCUAUUAAUUUUUAUAUUUAUUGUAAACAAAAAAAAUUGAAUAGUGAGAUAUUAGUACUUCUAAAAUAGUAAACUUCAUCCAUACUCAUGCCAUAUUAGUGGUACUUAUUUUUUUAUUGCAAAUAAAAAUAGUGAUUUUCUUAUAUAAUAACAUAAAUCAUAAUUUUUGUGUAUUUGAAUUAAAAUAUUUUUCUACAUUUUAAAUUUUUAUUGUAAUUUUAUAUCGUGAACUAAAUUAAAUCUCUUAAUUAAAUUAUAUAAAAAAAAUAUAUAUAUUUUCCAUUUGAUGUACUUAUACUUUUAUUUUAAAUAUUGUAUCUAUAUCAAUACUUGGUAUUAAUAUUAUAUUCAUAUUCAUGCAUUCUAUAUUUUGAGAUGUUCUUUUUCUUCCUCUUUUUUCGACAUUACAUUUAUCCACUUUUAUUAAAAUAAUUUUAAACUAUCUCUAAAAACUCUCACAUUUUAAACUAUCUCUAAAAACUCUCACAAUAGUCGUAAAAAACUAAAUAAAUAAACUUCCAGAUUCAUUUAAUUGUUUUUUCAUUCAAUUUCGACCUUCAUUUUUUUUAUUAUUCUUUCAUGCAUUCCAUUUUUUUUUCCUUUCUUGCAUCAUUCUAUCUUUUUUUUUUUUCCUUCUUUAUCCCAUUAUCUCAUCUUUUUUUUUCCUUCAUUUUUUCUCACUAUUUUCUUAACUUCAACCAAUUUCAUCACUUUUUCCUCUUUCUCUAACUCUUUUCACUUCAAUACGAUCAUUUAUAUCUUAGACUUGUGACUAUAAAUGACUUUAAGAAAAUAAAUAUUUCAAAUUUUUUUUUUUUAUAAAUUAAAUACAUUUUUACCACUUAAAAAUUUUAAAAUUUCGUUUUAAUUUGAAACUAUGAUUUUCGUUACUUUGAUCUUAAAUUUAUGACAUUUAAAAAUUUAUAUUUAAUUCAUCAUAAAUUAAAAAAAAAAUUGUAGAGGAACAUUUUUAAAUGCUCUUUAACCUGCAUGCAAAAAUAAUUUAAAAUUUUAAAAUUUGAAUCAUAUAUAUAUUCUAGUAGGGAUGAAAAUGGCUGGCAAGAUAAUUUUAUAGGGACUAUUGAUAUAAUUUUUUUAAAAGAACUAAAAAUGAAAUUUUAAAAUGUGAUGAAGAUAAAAAACUUAUGUAACCCUUUUAUUUUAUAAACAUCUAGUCCAUUUUUUUCAUAACUAUGAACUUCAUAUUUAUUUUUAUGCUUUUGUUUUUCCGUUCAUUUUUCCAAAUAAAAAACAAAUAUAUACUAUAAGUUUGAACUAACAUAUAUUGAAAAAAAAUUCAAUGAUAAAAAUUUCAAAUAAUUAUCAUGUAUGGGACAAUUAUUAUAUAUAAGAUAAAUUGUUGUUAUUGAAAUUGGACUAUCAUAUACAAGAAAUUUUUUCAUUAAUAACAAUUUCAAAAUUACUAUAAUAUCCAGAAAAGUUUGUUAUUGGUCAGAUUGAACAUUUAAUAAAUUUUAUCUCUGAAAUUUUGCUUAAAUUUUAUCUGCUACACUUUAAUUUAAAUAUUUAACAGAUAAUAAAAUAAAUUAUGCAUGCAAUCAUAUUUUACAAGUAUUUGUUUCUCAUUGCUUCUAAUUUUCAAAACAUAUUCACAAUUUUUAUAAGUUUAUAUACUAUUCUUUUGAGUCACAUCAAAAAAUAAAUAAUUUUGACCUUAUAUAAAUCAGCAAUAAAAUUGCGGACUCGUGCAAAGUGCAAACCCACAGAUAAUUUGCUAGUAGCUUGAGGUAAAUCAUCAAUGGGUGUUGUCUAAACUUUAAAAUCUUUUCAAAAUUUGACUAAGAUACCAUCCACACAAAACAUUCUAUUGGAUUUGUAAUUAAAAUUGAUCUGCAAAGUUGCAUCACAAUAUAUUAUUGACAUGUUAUAUAAAUUUACUAAUUACACCUUUUUCUUCAAUCAAUUACACCCACUCGCAAAAUCAACAAUUUAUCCUUAUAAGUAAAUCAAACUAGAUUAAGAAUUGGGCAUUGCACAGAUAAACAUAUAAUUUCUUAAAUAUUUUAUAAUACUAGGCAUAUAAUUUAAGUAAAAUAUUACGAUUUUGUUCUUAAAAAAAAUGUACCAGUGGGUUAAAACGUGUAUAUAUUAUUUAUAAAUUAUAAUUUUGAUGUAUUGAAACAAAUUUCAUAUAAUGUAAACACUAUUUAAAAAAUAUAUGUUUGAGAUAACUUUUUUUUUAGUACCAAAACAAUUUACUAUUUUGUACGAAAAAAAAUAAUUUCUUAUUUGAAAAAAGUUAAAAAUAUAUUUUAGUAUAUAACCAUAUAAAAUAAAUUCAAUAUUUUGGACAACAUACAAAUUUUUCUCUAAGUCCAUACUAACAAUAAUAUAAUAAGAAGAAAUAGAGAAAGACACAUAAAUCUAAUUUAAAUAAUUGUAAAAAUUAAAAAUAUGGGAUAGGUCUAUAUCAUAGACAUGAAGUAUUUAUUAUUUUUCAUCUGAUGAAAUCUUAAAAAGUUAAGUGUUACAUUCUUUGACUCGAUGUGUCUAAAGAUGAGGUGAGAAAGAUAGUGUAGUUGUCAUCAUAUAAUAUUAUAUAACUUAUUCAUAUUAUCACUAAAAUUUAAUAGGUAUGUAUUGGUGAUAUAAAUUUAUUUCAAGUUUCAACAUAUAUCCGACAAAUACAUUGGAUGACACAUAAUAUACUAUAUAAUAAAAUAUAAGUACAAUUUGGACAAAAAAGGGAUGUAUUAGGAUCAAAUAUCAACAGAAACAAUUGACCACAAAUAAAUCAAAUCAUACAAUUAAAAUUAAAAUUCAAAGAUGUAAACUAAAAAGAAUAUAAAAACUCUCACUUUUUGUUUAUCUAAAAGGAAUUUUUUUGAAAGCAUGUAAAUAAGCAUAGAAUGAGUUGCAUAGAGACCUAAUUAUAUUUGUCAUUUUCUUCUUAUUUCCAAAUAAACAUAAACAAUACACAAUAUAAAAUAACUUUCACUCAUUGUAGUCAUGUAUUUUUUGAGAAAUCUAUGUAUUUCUUGAAAAACUUUUAAAAGGAUUCAAUAUAUUAAUCGAGAGUUAAAACCAUUGGAAGAAUUGUUACAAAAAAUGAUGGAGGAAUAUUGAGUGUUGAAUAAUUAAUAUUUCCUAUAUUAAGACCCGCGCAUUGCGCAGGUAAACAUAUAAUUUUCUUAAAUAUUCUAUAAUAUUAUGUAUACAAUUUGACAAUAAUCUAGAUAAGAUUUUACGAUUUUGUCCUUAGAAAAAUAUAUCAGUGUGUUGAAAUGUUUAUAUGUUGUAUAUAAGUUACAAUUUUGGUCUAUCGAAAUAGGUUUCGUAUAAUGCAAACACUAUUUAAAAAUAUGAGUUUGAGAUAAAAAAAUUUCUAGUACCGAAACAAUUUACUAUUUUGUACAAAAAAAAUAAUUUACUAUUUGAAAAAAGUUAAAAAUAUAUUUUAGUAUAUAACCAUACAAAAAAAAGUUCAAUAUUUUGGAGAACAUACAAAUUUUCCUUAAAGUCCAUAUCAAAAAUGGUAUAAUAAGAAGAAAUAGAAAAAAUGCACCUUAAAACAAUAUAAAUUGAAUCUAAAGAACUUUUUACUUCAAUAAGGAAUUGUUGCCCUAAUUCUAAAUUAUAUCCUUCUAUCUAAUUUAAUUAUUAAUUUUGGUUAUCUAAUAAGUGACUUGAGAUAGAUUUGUAUAUUUUAUAGAUCUCACAAAAAAUAACUAUUUUUAUUAAAAGAUGAUAUUAUGUAAUAUUCAAUUUGAAAAAAUUAAAUAAUUGUAGAUACUAAAAAUGUGGAAUAGGUCUAUAUGAUAGAUAUAAAGUAUUUACUAUUCUUCAUCUGAAGAAAUCUUAGAGAGUUAAGUGUUACAUUCUUUAACUCGAUGUGUCUAAAUAUAAGGUGAAAAAAUAGUGUAAUUGUCAUCAUAUAAUAUUGUAUAACUUAUUUAUAUUAUCACUGAAUUUUAAUAAGUGUGCAUUGGUGCUAGAAACUUGUGUAUUGGAAGACACAUAAUAUACAAUGUAAUGAAAUAUAAGCACAAUUUAGACAAUUCUUUUUUAUGUAUUUGGACCAAAUGUCAACAACAACAAUUGACCACAAAUAUAUCAAAACAUAUAAAUAAAGUUAAAAUUCAAAGAUGUAAACUAAAAAAAUGUAAAAAUUGUCACACUUUUUGUUAAUCUAAAAGGAAAAAAGUUUGAAAAACAUGUAAACGAUCAUACAAAAGUUGCUUAGAGACCUAAUCAUAUAUGUCAUUGUCUUCCUAUUUUCAAAUAAACAUAAACAAUAUACGAUAUAAAAUAGCAUUCACUAAUUGUAGUCAUGUAAGAAACCUUUAAAAUGACCCAAUGUAUUAAUUGAUAGUUAAAAUAUUGUUACCAAAAAUAACGGAGGAGCAAUGUGUCAAAUAUUUAAUAUUUAAUAUUUAUUGUAUUGUAUUUUGUAACUCACGACAUAUUAAUAGCUUCACAAAAUAUUAGAUGCUAAAAUAGUAACAGUAAAAUGUGUGUUAAAGUAAAAAAAUAUGCUAUAGCAAAUUGCAAGUGUAGAAUAAUAAGAAGGUUGUAAUAGUGCUUAUUAUAUAUGCCACGUCAUAUUUUUUAAAUGAAGUGGCACAAUAUUUAAUUAUGUAUCGUAAUAAAAGUUGAAAGUCUAAUUUAAUAUAUUAUAAUAGAUAAUAGAUUCACUCGCCAGCCUUCUUAGACAUAAUUAGUCUACUACACUUGAGGGUCAUGUUAGAUGAUCGACAACAAUCUGAUAUCUGCGUUUGUUGAAAGAUGGCAUUCCAAGACAUCGCCAAUGCCAAUAAAAAGUAACCCAUCCAAUGGUAUUUAACAUCCAGAAAACUGCCAAAUAAAAUGCAUCCCAAGCCGAAAUAUCGUCAUUUCACAUGUCAUUUGGUGAAAUGAAGAUUACUUUUGGAUGAUGUUGAACAUCUUCUGGGAUUGCCUAUUAGGGGUGAGUUCUACAAUCCAUCCGACGUAGAUAGAGUAACGACAUGUAAUCUUGUCGUCACUCUAUUAGAAGUGGCCACGAAAGAGAUCUGGGAGGAGACCAAAAAGACUAGAGGUGCGCACUAUAGACUGGAUUGGUUGAAAGAGGUCUUCAGAAGACAGUGUGCAGCAGAGAGAUUUGACUGUGCUGCUAGGGCAUAUCUGUUGAAUUUAGUAGGGAGUACUAUUUUCGAUGAUAAGAGUGAUUACUCUAGUUGAUGCGAAGUACCUUCCUUUAUUCAGAUAUUUAGACGGUACAUAUAAAAAUGCAUGGGGUACUGCUGCACUCGUAGUGUUUUAUGACUACCUCUCAGAUGUCUGCUGUUAUGACACCAAACAACUAGGUGGAUAUAUGAUGCUGCUUUAGGUAUCAUUUAUUUAUUUAAUUUUAAUUAUUAAAUAUUAUGUUAAUUAUGUUAUUUGUAUUAAUUAUUAUUAUUAGUUAUUAAUUGUUUAUUUAUCAUUAUGAACACUAUUGUUAUGUCGGUUAUUUUUUAUGAACACUUUAUUCGCUAUUGUUAUGUCGGUUACUUUUUAUGAACACUUUAUUAAUUAUUAGUAUGUCGGUUACUUUAUGCGUUAUUGUUAUGUCGGUUACUUUAUUAAUUAUUAAUUAUUGUUAUGUCAGUUACUUUAUUAAUUAUUAAUUAUUAAUUAUUGUUAUGUCGAUUACUUUAUUAAUUAUUGUGAUGAAGAAUAAAAUGAAAUAAUUACAAGAUAAAAUCAAUUAAUAAUAUGAACGACAAAAAAUAAAAUUAAUUAAUAACAAGUGAUUUUGUAUCAAUUUUAAAAUAUUAAGGUUCAUCUAAUGACAUUGCAUCUACGGGUUCCAUAAGUGGGUUUUGGGUAACACGUGACAACCGACCUAAUAAAUACCGCUAGUGUUGUAGACGCCCUGUAUAUGCUAUUGCCCAAGAAGUUGCUUCAUCGGUGCGAUAUUGCUUCCAACCUGGUGCAAUGUCUGACAUUGGAGAUUCAUCCUUCAUCUUUAACUAGAAAAAUUAAAUAAAUUAACAAAACAGAAGAAUCUACUUAUCCUAUAUCUCUAAAAAAAAUUCAAAAUGCCAAAAAUAUCUUCAAUUUUUUUUAAGCGCAUCCAGAUUCAGUGAAGUUGUUGAAUUUGUUUUCGAUUGUGUUGAUUAUGGACAGUACCUACAAAACCAAUAAAUACAGAAUGCCAUUACUUAAAAUUGUUGGUAUGACAUCAACUGAGAAGACAUUUGUAGUUGGAUUUGCUUAUUUGGAAUGUGAGAGGGAAGAAAACUUUUGUUGGGCAAUAGAGAAACUAAGAGAUUUGUUUGUUACACAAAAUAAAUUUCCUCAAGUAAUUGUGACAGACAGAGAUCUUGCGUUAAUGAAUGCAGUUGGCAUUGUAUUUCCACAUGCUGUUAAUUUACUUUGUCAAUUUCAUAUUGACAAAAAUGUUGGAGCAAAAUGCAAGCAAUAUGUCUUAAAGGAUAGACAAGAGUCGGUAUUGAAUAUGUGGAAAGACAUUAUGUAUUGUAGUGAUAAAAAAAAAAAGUAUAUCAUGCGCUUGCACAUGUUUGACCAAUCAUGUGUUGAUACUAAAGUGUUUGUUGAUUAUGUGAAAGAAACUUGGUUGACUCCACAUAAGGAAAGAUUUGUUGAAGCAUGGACAAAUCAAGUGAUGCAUUUGGGGAACACAACGACUAACAGGUAUGUAAUGUAAUUUUAUUAUAUAUUGUUGAAUUGUAUUAUAUUUUCCAAUGUGACUGUAAAAUUUUAUUAUAAGGUUGAGUCAACUCACUGGAAACUGAAGUUAAUGUUGGAAAACAGCAUGGGUGAUAUGUGUAAAUGUUGGGAGGCUAUGAACAACAUGAUAAGGUUGCAACAUAAAAAAAUCAGGGACUCGUUUCAAAAAAGUUUUUAUGAUGAAGAGCAUGAACACAAAAAUCCAUUUUAUCAGAGAUUGAAUACAUUUGUAUCAAGAGAAACUCAAAGACAUAUUGGUGAAGAAUACGACAAAGUUGAGUGGGUGGGUACUGACAAAUCUGUAUGUGGGUGCUCUCUCAGAAUGACAUACGGGUUACCUUGUGCUUAUGAAUUGGGACAAUAUAAAUUGAUGGAUGAACCAAUUCCUCUAGAUUCUGUGCAUAUUCAAUGGAGAAAAUUAAGCAUGGAAUGUGAAAUCACCCAAGACACAAAAGAUGGAUCAGAGUUGGAUAUGUCUACUGAGAUGAAUGCCUUAUGGAAUCGCUUUCGAUCACUUGAUGUUCAUAAAAAGUCUACAACUCUGAUGUCAUACCAACAAUUUUAAGUAAUGGCAUUCUGUAUUUAUUGGUUUUGUAGGUACUGUCCAUAAUCAACACAAUCGAAAACAAAUUCAACAACUUCACUGAAUCUGGAUGCGCUUAAAAAAAAUUGAAGAUAUUUUUGACAUUUUAAAUUUUUUUUAGAGAUAUAGAAUAAAUUUUUCCUGAAAGAUUCUCUAACAAUCCACUUAGCCCAUACGACUUUGGGAAUUUACAUACCACAUAUCCACUUAACUUUAGGAUGAAUGAAGUGGUAAUUCAAUGACAUUAUAUUUUUAACAUUUGUUUUCAUAAUCACAUGUAUCAUACACUUUAUUUAUUUAUUUCACAAUCGUGGGACUGAUGGUAUUGAACAUUAAAAAGAAGAUAAGAGGUGAUGUCCUUCAACGUCAUAUUAGUAGCAAAUAAAUUCGUAGAAUCCAUUAACUGUGGUUUAGGGAUGGCAAUUGGUAGAAUUUGGAUAGGGUACUAUAGUACCCGUCUUCAUACUCGCAAUUUUAAAAAAUACUCAUAUUUGUGCCCGUACUUAGGGAUGACAAUGGGUAGUGUUUGGGUAUGGUACUAUAGUACCCGUCUCCAUAUCCGCGAUUUAAAAAAAUACUCAUACACGUAUAUGUACCCACUUGGGUAUCAAAUUUAAUACCCGUACCCUUACCCUCCGGGUACUUAAGUGCCCGUACUCAUACCCGUUAUCCACACUUUAACUAAAAAAAAUCGAUAAAUAAAUAACAUUAUUGUGAUUAAAUUUAAAAAUUAUUCAAAUAUCUUAAAUCCAAUCAUAAAAUAUUAUAAACCAAAAUAUUUUCUAACUCAAAACAUUUCAAAUGAAAACUUGUUAUAAUACAUAUUUAAAUAUCCAUAAUAAUAUUUUGUGAAGUUGCAAGUCAUACGACAAUAUUAUCUGAGAUAAUUGAUACAAAGUUGCAAGUAUAAUUAUAAAGUCACGAUUAAUAAGAUAUAACUAUUAGUUAUAAAAUCACAAUUAUUUACCUAUUUAUCAUAAUCAGAUUCUUAAAAAAUUUGCAAACAUUUAUGUUUCAAUUAUAAAUAUUGUAAUGGUCCAAUGAUAUUAAUAGAUCAAUUAAUUAAACUAAACACUAAUAUAAUAAAUAAAUAAAUAACUAAAUAAAUAAAUAAUAUAUUUAUAUAAGUGCGGGUGCGGGGCGGGUACUAUAGUACCCGUACCCGCACCCAAACCCGCUUAAUUUUGCGGGUAAUUACAUGUCCUCAUUCCCAUGCCCAUUAUGCGGGUUUUUACUCUACCCAUUGUGGGUUUUUUGCGGGUACCCACUGGGUAUGGGUCUAAUUGCCAUCCCUACCCGUACCCUCUUGGUAUCAAUUUUAAUACUCGUACCCUUACCCUCUAGGUACCUAAGUACCCGUACCCAUACCUAUUACUCACACUUUAACUAAAAUAUAUCGAUAAAUAAAUGAUUUAGUUGUGAUUAAAUUUAAAAAUUAUUCAAAUAUUUUAACUCCAAUCAUAAAGUAUUAUAAACCAAAAUAUUUUUUAACUCAAAACAAUUCAACUGAGCACUCGUUACAAUACACAUUCUAAUAUUCAUAAUAAUAAUUUAUGAAGUUGCAAGUUCUACGACAAUAUUAUUCGAGAUCCGUAAAAACAAUUGAUAGGAAGUUGCAAGUAUAAUUAUAAAGUCAUGAUUAAUAAGACAUAACUCUUAGUUAUAAAAUCACAAUUAUUUACAUAUUCAUCAUAAUAAAAUUCUUAAAAAGUUUGCAAACGUUUAUCUUUCAAUUAUAAAUAUUGUAGUGGUCCAAUGAUAUUAAUAGAUGUUAAAAUAUAAAAGAAAACAAUUAAUUAAACUAAACACUAAUAUAAUAAAUAAGUAAAUAAUAUAUUUAUAUAAGUACGGGUGCAGGGCGGGGUGGGUAUUAUAGUACUUGUACUCAUAUCCGUUUAAUUUUGUAGAUAAUUACUCGUCCUUGUACCCAUACCCAUUAUGCAGGUUUUUACUUUACCCAUUAUGGGUUUUUUUUGCGGGUACCCAUUAGGUCUGAAUCUAUUGUUGUUCAUUGUGUUAAAAUUUCUUUUCUCACCGUCCAUUUAGUUGGGGAUAAACUUUGCAUUAAUUAACAACACUAAAAAAUAGAUAAUGUACAAUAAUUGUGAUCACAUAUCCUAUGAGAGACAUAAAUUAUUAAUGCUACUCUCUUUUUCAGAAUUAUGAUAACCCAUGGUUCAAAUUUAUUUUCAGUUAUAAUUAAUUUCCUCUAGGAAAGAAUCACUGGAAAACAAACUUGGUAAACUUAAACAGUGAAAAAUUAUGCAUGGGAAAACCAAGUUUAUCAAGAUAAGCCUACUUUUCACUGAAACAUUCAAACACAAUACUUUUAAUAUAUGCACGCACAAAUCUUAUCUUGAAAGCUACAAAUUUCAUGAAAACAGGUAAGCAAGUUCUUAAAUGUUCACUACGGAUAAUUCUAACAAGUUUCACACCACACAUCAAAUAUCAUGAAAGGUUAUAUGAGCUUUAGAGGCCACACAUAACCAAACAUGGUUGAUCCACUCAAUUCGGUAAAAGCUAUAAAUCAAUAUUUCCUCUGCAUACAGAACGUGCUAUGAGAGACUAUUCAAGCUUCAAGGAUAAAAACACUAACAAUAAAAGAUAUAGCAGUAAGAGAAUGCAAGGAAAAAUAGUCUAAUAGCCAAGAGGGGCACUUAAAGCAGCCUUAGUUUCUAAAAUUUGUGUCUCCUGUUGAAUGAUACUCUCCAAAACAGCUUCAGAUGAGGUCAAUUGAUGGUUAAAAACAUCCAUUUGUUUAGCUAAAACGUCAAUCUUCCAACGCAUAUCUUCAACAUCCUUGGUAACCUGUUUCUUGGAAUCCAAUAACUUUUGGAAUGCAUCUUGAGAGAAUUGCAAAUCGGGAAACAAAGCGCGCUUUUCGACACCAUCCAACCAAUUCUUAUCAAAAGCAAAUCUGCGCGCAUCUUGUAUUAACUCAACAAAUACAGAGUGGCCUGAACCUAAAACAUCCAACACACUGCGGGUUUGGAGGAAUUUCAAUAGCUCAGCUAGGCAGUGAUAUGCAUAACCCUUGUAUCGGUUACUAAGUGAGGUGUCCCUUAAAAGACAUGAAGGAUGCUUAACAAGAAAAUCAGUCAACAAAGACAAGUUUUGGUAAUCCAAAUGCUUCUUGGAUACCAGUUCCUCAAGCUCCCUUGUGACAAGAGAAGGAGAACUUAAAUCUUUCACUAUUUGAGAAGGGUUCCCUAAUAGAGAAGAAAAAACUAGUUAAGACUCUCCAAAGAAAUAAGACAAAAUGAUUAAAAAUAAAAUUAAGGGAGUAAAUACCUUUAGAAGGCGUGGAAGGAGUCUGAAAUGCAAGAGGCAAAGGAAUGCUAUUGCUUGGAGAGGGCUUAGAUUUUGAAACUCUAAAUUCAUCAUCCUUAGGAAACUGUUCCUCAAUAGUUGAGGUUACUUUCCCAACAGCAGCAUCAUUUAGAGAAACUGAACAAAAGGUGGAAGUGGAGAGAGUUCAACUUCAAAAAUCAAAAGGGUGGUGAGGUAACAUAAGAAAAUAAAAUUUAUCCAAAGAAUCUUCACCUUGAUCAUCAUUAGUCUUGGCAGUUUCCACAGAGUAUCUAACAUCAACAUCUUGUUCCUACACAUAUUCAAAUAAAAAAUGAUAUUAACAUAUCCAAAAUAUUAAUUUUUAUACGAUUAGCCUCACUAUAUUAAAAAUAUAUAUUUAGUUUUAAAAAGCCUAACUUUAUCAUAGAAAGAAAUAAGAAUCAAUUUUUGAAACUAAUAGAACAUGCUUGAAAACUAGGUUACCUUUGAUGAAUUGACUAAUUCUAAAUGAGUUGAGGGUGUUAUUGUGUUGGCAUUUGCUAAUGCAGUUCCUUCUUCAACACACUGCAUAAAAAUUAAAAGGAAGUUUAAGUUGGUAGUAAAAUUCAAUUCCUAAAUUAAAAAGUCAAAGAAAACAUGCAAAAUAGGGGAUAUGCCUUUUUUUUAGGAGAAAUUAAUUGUAUAGGUCCAUUUCUCGUUUCUGAAAUGGUAGACAUAGUUGCAGCAACAGUUUUUUCUGGUGUAUAACCCUCUUGAAUAUUUUGGUCCUCUAUUUCUUUCAAACACUGUGUAGCAGGAAAAUGUAAAUAAGCUGUAGUGUAUUUUUAAGAAGCACUUGAAAUAUAUCUAUUUCUUUUUAGAUUUAUAUGCACAAUAAGGUGAUACUAUAUUUACAUUAUUUCCUUGAGAAGGUUUGGCGGUAGUAUCAAUUUCUCCAAGUGGAUGUUGCUGGUUCAUCAAGCACUGUUGAUUCGUUGAUUGUUCAUUCACCAACUCCUGUAUUAAGAACAGAUGCAUUCAUUACCAAAGUCGUAGACUAUUGAAUGAGUUUAUGGAGAGGAAAUUUGAUAUGGCCUGCAAAUUACUUUUGAAUUUGUUGGUAAUAUUGCUAUUGAUGGUAUCUCUAAAUCCGGAACAUUUUCAACAAAUUCAUGCUCUGCUUCUGGUGUGAGUUUCAUUUGUAUCUGCACAAAAAAUAGUAUGUUUGAUUCAAAGACAUUGUCAUGGUGAUUGUAUUCAGGUGUGAGUAAAUAGAAUGGUAUUGACCUGUGAUGCCGCUUCAACUUCAAUCCCACCAUCAAAAUCUUCAGUGGUUUCUGCACUUGGACUUUCAUUACCACUAUCGCUACCAUCGGACUCUUCUUGUAAUUGUUGAAAUACGUUUUUAUAUGUUUCACGAUCUAUAGCAAAAUAUUAUUAGAUAGUAACUCAUAAGCAUAACAUUUCCUCAGAAAAAAAAAAAAACAGAAACUCAUGAGCACAACAAUAAAAUCAAGAUGUUAACUAGAUGUACAAUUAUUUAUCUGUCUAUGCCUAAUAAUUAAAAUUUUACCACUUUCAUAAAGCAUCUCUAAGUAUAUAGGUAACUCUAUGUGCUCUUGCAUUUUCAAAAACACUUAUUCAUGCACAUUUCUACUUUAGAUAAUUUGUUAUAUUCUUCAACCAACUAGUUUAAUUUUUUAAAUAUUAAAACACAUAUAAUUGGUUGGUAAAGAUAAAACAAAUGACUAUAUGACAUCUUUGACAUUAUCGUAAUAUUUUUUGAAAAAGCUAUAUCUAGAGAGACAUAUAUAUUCUCUAUUAGUACUUGGUAAGAAAUGCAGAGGGACUCCUAAUACUUGGUAAGAAAUGCCGAGGGAAAAAGUUAAAGAAUAAAUUCUCAAGAAAAUUUUGACAAAUGUAUCUAGAAAGUCGGGCAUUAAUCAAGUAAGUCUAUUUCAGAUAAACAAUUAAAAUUACACACACACACAUACACAGACAUAUAUAUUUGUAAAACUCAAACUGUCUACAUUUCGAUCAACUUGAGAAAGUAUAUAUUCAAAUAAAAAGUAACAUAUAUUUGUUUCUAUUGUAAAGAACUUUGUGGUAGUGUACAACUGUCUAUAUACACAUUUAUAAAUAAGAAGAAUUACAAAAAAUAAACACAAUUAUCAAAAUAUUUUAUAAACACGACAUGAUAUGUAGUUAAAAAAUAUUGGGUAUAAUGUGUACCUGUGUUUCGUACGAAAAAUUUAUAAAUUUCAACGAUCUUGUAGGGAGUAGAUUCUAAACACGAAGAGAGUUUUCGACAAUUUCGUACAAAACGAUUUUUUGUUGUCUGAAAUUGAAUUCCUUGGGUGAAGAAGAGGCUUGGUAGUUUGUCAAAUACUAUAAAAUUUAGUUUUGGAAUCUUGACUUUUUGAUCACCUUCACUUUUGAAUAUUUCCUCCAAUUCAAGUGCUUUUGUUAUUACUAGUGCCUCUAGCUCAAGAAACUCUUUACAUAUGGAGACCGGAAAGACAUAUUUCAACUUGCAGCACUUUACUACAACAAGUACUUUUAGCUUUGGGAAGGAAUUCAACAUGUUUUGAUUCUGCAAGUCAUCUUCAAUGAUAUGUUUCAACUCCUUGCAUUCUUCUAUUCUUAGAAAAACUAAUUUUGAUAGGCAUCUUAUAAUAGAAGUGGAGAAAAGUACUUCCAAUAUUUCACAUCGUAUGAUUAUUAUCUUUGUAAGGUUUUUUAGGACAAAAGAAUUUUUGGGUCCCCCAAAAAGGUACUUCAUAUUAUGCAUAUCAGAUAACUGAAUCUUUUGCAACCUUAAGUUCAUUGGUUGCCCAUCCAUUUCAUUGAGACAAAAUAAAUUUUCUGCUUUGAAGUUAUCUACCCUCAGACUUUCCAAAGGAAUAAAAUGUUUCACGCUCAAUUCCUACGAGUAUGUACACAAAAUAAAUUAGUUGUAUCAUAAUAACAUUUCUAAAAUUCAGUAAAAAAGACAUUUUUAAAAUUAAAUAAGAUCUCGUUUAAAAUUAUAUUCUUAAAUUACAGGAAAUUAAACUUCCAUUUUAUAAAAAAAAUUAUACAUUGAAAAUGAUUUGUCAAGUUAGUUAGAUAUUUUCUUGGUUCCAUUAUUUUUAUAUGAAAUGAUGUAAAAAAAUGUAUAUUCAUUAUUAAAAUAGAAAUAUAAACAUUUUCAUAAAAUAGUUAAACACACACAGAAGUUGAAAAAAUAAACAUUUUCAUCAAAGCCUUCAGAACAUCUUGAGGUGAGGCUAUUGAGUGAUUAUGUUAUAAUUUGUUUUCAAAAUAGAAAAUGAGAUAUAUAAAUCCUGGAACCUAAUCAAUUACAAUAAAAAAUGUGACAAGAAUAAUUGACAUAACCACAGAAUACAGGGACAUAUUAUGCCACAAUCUAUUUCCUAGAGAUACAUUCUAAAGUAUCAAGACACUACUAAAAAAACCAAGCACUUAUGAGACUUAGAUCUUGCUUGGAACUACUAUCUUAACACGAUUCACCAACACCGCACAAAUAUUGAUUCUAUUGGAACAAAUGUGACAUUCCCAUUUCAAGUUUUUUCCACUAAGUAGUUAUCAAUUGCAAUCCAAUGACAUUCUUCGAGUAAGAAUGAAAUCAUUGAUUAAUUUGGCAAACAAAAAAUAUAUAAGAAAAAAGAGAUACCUUCAUAAUUGUACUGUCUUGAGAUUUUGAAACCGAAUGAAUAAUGAAAUCACCGAUAGAUUUAAUAUCAACUUGGGAGCAAUUUUUUAGUUCAAGUUCUUUUAAAGAUGGAAAUGUUGGGCGAUAUUGUUUGGGACACAUAGCGACUAAACUUGACAGAUUGCAAAUAUUGAGAUAUUGCAAUGCUGGAAGAUGAAGGUGAAUCUCAGUGUGAUUUUGAUGGUCAUUAGUGUAGUGUCCAAAUAUGUAUUCCAAUUGCAUGCACUUUUGAACGUGGAGCCUUUUCAAUGUAGGGAAGACAUUGCCCCAAUUAUUGCCACUACUGUCGUGAUCUUCGGUGUCUAUCACUAUGUGCUUCAAUUCAUCACAAUUUGUAAUUGUCAAAGUUUCCAACAUUCUUGGAGCAACAGACAGGAUAAACACCGAUUUUAUCUUCAAAAUUUGAAACAGCACAAUGUUUUUAAUAUUGCACAUGAAAUGUGGGUGUACCGAAAGACAUUGAGCACGUUCCCAUAUAUGAAGAUUGUGUGAAUUUGAUACCUGUAAUGUAAUCCCAAUGUAAAGGAACUAAAAAUCAUACUAAACAUUCCUUACGUGUGCAUACAACUUAUAUAAAUGCAAACAUAUAAGUUAUAACGUUUCUAUUAUAAGUCCUAAAGAUAGCCUUACAUUAUCUAUAAUAAAUUUUUCUUUUAUAAGUCCUAAAGAUAGGCUUACAUUAUCUAUAAUAAAUUUAGUGCAUCGAAGUGUUUGGAACACUUCAAAACAUAUUCAACUUAUAAUAGAAAUCUUCAAGUUUGGGAUGCUAAAUAUGCAUAAAAGCUAUCAAAUAAUAUACAAGAUACACAUUAAAAAGAUAAAGUAUCACAAUAAACCCGAAAGGUGAGAGGGUUACCGAUGUGAUUGAGUACUCCUGUGGUUGAUCCUCAGAAACCAAUGGAAUUCUAGUUGUUGACGAACUCCCAAAUUUAUCACCACGACAACAUAAAUAAGGCCAAGAGAAGAUAUUGCAUUUGAUAGGGUCCAAUUGUAUUUGUGCCUUGAAACCAUCUCUGGAAGUGGAACAUGACUCAUUCACAAGCAAAGACAUGGAAUCAUAGCAUUUCGGAAAAAUGUCUAUGAAACUUGGUAAUAGAAAGAGCUCCAUUUGUUUUAGUGACUUAAGUUCAACAUGUUGGUAUUGGCUAAAUAUGUAUUUUAGCCCAUCACAUCUUUUUAUUGAGAUAGCUUCUAGUACUGGAAAAUCUUGAGAAGAGAGGAAGGGAAUUAUCGAUUCUAAUCGGUGACAUCCCUCAAUAUCAAGAACUUUUAGUUUUGGAAAAAUCGAGCCGUGCCUCUUGUUAUCAUUAUCACCAUCGUCUAUUUCUUCUCUUGAUUCCUCCUCUCUUUUAACAUCUAUUAUGUUUUUCAGUUCCUCACAAUCAGUUAUUUCCAAUUUCUCUAGUUGCACCAGAUUCUGAGACAUCAAUGGAAAUAGGGAAACCAACAUUGGACAUUGCUUUAGUAUCAAGGUCUUCAAAUUGCAUAGAUUUAGCUUGCAAUUAAAAAAUCUUUGAAAUUUUUUACACUCCAUCACUGAUAGCCUCUCUAAAUUCUUCAAAGAGUCAAAGGAUAAGGAACCAUUGAAUAGUUCUUCCAAAUUUUCCAUCAUAUCCAAGCUUAGUACAACCAAUUUGGACAAUACAUUUGGUACUUGAGAACCAAUAGUUUUAAUGAGACACUGUAACUGUGAAAUAGAACUCAAAUGAAGCUCAACAAGAUCAUUCAUACCUAGAUCUAUAGGAACAAUCUCAGGCAUGAGAUUUCUCCAUCCCCUCUUAAUUCCUUUUAGUCGAAGAAACUCUGUGGUUCGCAUGAAAUAAUUGAGUGUUGUUUCUGAAAAAUAACAUGCAUCACUAGCACAAAAAUUUACAUAUUUUGAUUGUGAAUAUUUCAUUCUACCCCAGUCGUUAUAAAUAUGAAACUUUUGCAACUCGGGUAUGGUUAUUUCUCGACAAAAAUUGUUAAAACUAUAUUUGAAAUACAACUCUUCCAGUGAUGAGCAUUUUUCAAUGACUUCAAACAGAUUAUUCCUUCGAAUAACACAAGUAUCCAAGUUCAACAAUUUAAAUUUCCCCAAUUUUGUAAUUUCAAAUGGCAAUUCAUUGAUUGUGCAUAAAUUCAAAUCAAGAGUCUCAAGACUUGGUAGCUUUCCCAAAAUAGAGAUGUCACCUAAAUCCACUCCUUCAACCAACAAAGAUCGAAUAUUCGUCAAUGACUGAAUUGAUUGUGGUAAUGAUAGAAAGUUCACUUUGUCAGUACUUUUAAAGUAUAAAACUCGAAGCUUGAAAAUAUUUUCAAAGAAAGAAUUUGGGACUUCGAUACAUUCCUGGCCUUCACUAUCUAUGUCAACAAUUAGAGUCUCAAGUUUGGAGCACUCAAAUUUACAAGAAAACAAAUCCAUGUCCUUCCCUUUACAAAAUAAAUAUUUAAUAUUUAUUUCUUUUUGAACCAAUAACUUUUGAUCUUUUAUAGAUAAAUUUACAUCCCAAAUCUCUUUGUUCGCUAUCCAUUGAGCCGCAUCACGAACUAAAUCAUGCAUUUUGACAUUUUCUUUGUUUUCGGUAUCAACGACAUCCAACAACAAACAAGAAUCUAUGAGUUUAUUUUUGGCAACAACUACUUCGAUUCGGGUAUCAUUGUAGCUGCGAUAAUCCUCCCCAAAAAGGCCCAUUCCAAUGCCAAGUCUAGUUAGAAUUUCAACAGAAAUUAUUUCAUCUUCUGGGAAUACAGAAGAUAAGAGGAGCAAUUCCUUGGCUUUUUUAUUCUUCAUAUAAUCAUAGCUAAACUUCAAACAUUUAUAAAUUCCAACCACAUCGUCAUCAACAUUAGGCAUGGACACAUGCUUCUUCAAGGAUUUCAAGGUCGCAUCCCACUCAUGCUUGCGAUGUUGUUGGCCCUUUAAACUUCUGGCAAUUACUGCAAUUGCAACCGGUAAUCCUUUGCAUUCGCGAGCAAUUUUUUGUCCCUUACUGGUCAAACUAUUUGAAAAACUAUCAUUUAUACCGGCAUAAUUUUUGAACAUGAUCCAUGCAUCUUCAUCAGAUAAGAUCUCCAAUUCAAUUUUCUUAUCACAAUUCAUUGUAUCGAGUAUUCGUUUACUACGUGUGGUUAUAAGAACUCUGCAACCAUUGUGAUUGUCUCGUUUUGGAAUUCCUAUUCUAUCAAAAUCAAGAGAGGUGUCUUGAUCCCACACAUCAUCCAGAAUAAGAAGAAUUUUCUCACCAUUUGUUAAUCUGCUCCUUAGUAUUUUGGGUCGGUCUGAGUUAUUACAGUCUUUGAGUUUCAAUCCUAGAGGUCCAGCAAUAUCAUCUUGAAUCUUUUUUAUAUCAGGAGUAAAUGACACUGUUGUAUCAAUGACAUGAUCGAGUUUUUUAGAUUCCUCUAGUUCUUUACCCACUUUUAUGGCCAAUGUAGUUUUUCCGGUGCCCCCCAUCCCUUGCAAUCCGGUCAUAUAGUUGUUGUCAUCUUUUAGUGCAUCCAAUAGUUCUUUGUAUUUUGACUCUCUGCCUUUAAAUUGAAUGUAAUAGUCCAAUGAAUAAUAACCACAACCUGGAAGAGAUUGAGGAAGAUCAAUAAUUUCAAAUAUUUCUCCCUUUUCUAUUGACGAUUUAAUCUCCUCUGUCAUAUUUACCAACUCCUUUCCCCUUUUAUAUCGCCCUAUGCAAUCAGGACAAAAUCCAAAAAAACAUGUUUGUUUUGUUUUGGUGUUCUCUUGAAUCAGCUUAUCAACUUUCUUUAUCCAAUGAAGAACAUUAGCCCGAAUGACUUUACCUUCACUUACUGCUACUUGAACACGUUGCUCCAUAGUUUUUCUUUCAGCUUCCAACUCAGGUUUUUUUUCUUCGAAUUCCUUAGCAAUGCAUGUGAAGCAAAAUACAAAACGUAAUUCUGCUGUUACCCUAUUUAUCAAUUUUUCCACAUAUGUCUUCCCCAAUUCAGCCAAGCAACUCACCAUCUAAAUCAAUUUCAAUAGAUCAGAGUUAGCCAUAUAUGCUCAACAAAGCUUCAAAUAGACAUUAUUUAAUUUUUAGUCUAAGUUUUACGAGCAACAAAUGUAAAAUGAAAGGUAUGAUGACCAAAAUAAAUAAAUAAAAGAGUAGUUUAAUUAUAGAUGUAGUUGUUUAUGUUGGUUUUUUCUGUUUUGGUAGUUUUGCUGUUAGUUAAGUAAUCACUCCCUCCAUAAUGAAAUAUAAAAAAAAAAAUAAUAAUUUUUCUCCAAUCACUACACUCAUUUAAUAUAACUUUUUAUAUUUCUAACGACCCAAUUUAUUAGUGAUUGAGGAUAAUUUUGACAAUAGACUUAAAUUUUAUUGGGAUUGCAUAGAUUAAAUGAGAUCAACAAUAUUUUGUAAGUAUUUUUGCUUAUAGUUACUUAGCUUGCUGUGUCAAAUUGAUCAUGUAGCCAGAAGCAGUGGAGACUGAAAGUGGAAAUCAUUUUCAAACAGAAAAACUGUAAAAGUAAACAGAAUAAUGUUAACCAACCAUUGAAUAUGAUUUUUACCUUGUUUUCCAACAGAGUUACAAAUAACCGCUUUCAGCAAAUGCUCAAGUCUUGUGAAUAAUCUUCUCCUUUUCUCCAAUCUACGGAGAGAAUAAAGUAAUGUUUAAUGCAAUUGAAGUUCUGUAGUAAUCAAAAGAAGCAGAGACUAAAUAUUUCUAGGUUAAAUCUUUUUGCUUUGUCAACAUUCUCCAUACUCUAAAAAGCUGCCUUUUUUUUUCCUUUCGGAUUCGAACUAAGUAUGGCCAAAAUUAGUUACCUAAAGUAGUUACCAAGUAGAGAGAACUUUUAAUGCUAUGUUUGAUAAUUGAUAUAUAACUACAAUGCUAGUGGAUCGAGAAAAAUAGGACCAAUCUGAGCAACUAGAGAAAUCUUAUGCGAUUAGUCUAAAAAAAUCUUAAUAAGUGGAAAGGGUCUCUCUGAGUUAAAAAAAUAAUUAUAACCGGAGAAAAAAUUUCUUAGAAGCUAGAACAUGGCCAUUCUUAUGCACACAAGUCAAUUUCUCUAAAUAAUUAUAGAAAAAAAAUAAAAUCAAGUUGAGGUAUUAAAACAUUAUGCAAUGUAUGGAACAUCCAACAAUAGAUGUAUGACGACAAAAAUAAAUAAAGAUUAGUUAGUUAGCUACUGAAAAUGAAAAUGGAACACAUACAAAAAAAACUAAAAAAGUAAACAGAAUAUAAGGAAACCAUGAGAUUAUUUUUAACCUGAUUUUGAGUACUUUCAGUGCAUCGUAGCGCAAGUUUUAUGAACAAUCUUCUCCUUUCUUCAAUCUGCAGUAGCUAGCAUCAAGAGAAUAAGGUAGUGAUCGAUGCAAAUUCAAGUUCUGCAGCAAACAAAAGCAGCAGAGACCGUAACACUAUUUCCUUUUUUUUUUUUUUUUGGUUUCUUACUACUCAUGUGUCUUGCACCAACAAUCUGAUGGGGAAAAGUGUGAAUUAUUAAGAAAGUUUACAGCUAGCUAGACAAUAGUUUAAAGGUUGCACUGACAAUCUCAUGGAAAAAUGUGAAUUAUAGAAUAUGUUAAUGUCUUAUUUUCUAUGCAUGUUUUAUUUUAUUUUAUAAAAGUUAAUAAAUUCUCUUAUAAUUACUUUACACAAUUAUUAAGGAACUAUCUCAUUAUGGUUUAAAAAUGAUUUUUAGUUUGAAUUUAUUAUUAAACUUACUUUAUUAUAUAAAUAUAAAUGUAUUUAAACUAACUAAAUAUAAACAACUUUUACCAACUCACUUUUUAUUCUAUGCAAUCUUUGAAGUCAAUCUAACUCAUAGUGACUUAAUGUUAUGUAUAAUUUCUUACAUGAAAUUAUAUCAAUGCGACUAUCUAGGAAAUUCAAGUUGGGAUGACACCGGCCAACAAAUUUCGCUACCCAUCAUAUCCAGAGCAAAAUGGUACAUGGAAAUUCCAGGAAUUAGUGUUUUUCAAUGCUAAGACAAGGUAUAUUUAUACAUCAAUCUUUUUUUCCUCACCCUUCUAAACUCUUUUCCUUCUUUAGUUGUUUUUAAGUGUCACUCUGCUUUGUGUGUCUCAUACUCUUAGUUUUAAUUCAAUGUAGUAUAUGUUGAGUAGCUUACAAAUUGCAGUUGAAAAAGUUUGACUCAAAUAAUUUGAAGCAUGUUUAAAAGAUGUCUGGCAUUGAAUUGGAUUGAGUAAAUUAGAUCAUUUUAAAUUUCAUAACACAAAUCUGCAUGUAUUGUAGAAAUUUUUCAAAUGUUAAGGUUAAUGACUUCGAUCAUUUUAAUCAUCAAUGUUUGUGGUAAUUGUGAAUUUUUUUAAUUUUAAAUCGGAUAUAUUAGAAUUUUUAUUUACAAAUAUUCAAACUAUUACUAAUAUUGGCAGAUGAAUCAUAAUCAUUAAUAUUUUGGUGACAAAAUAUUAAUUGUCAAAUAAUUAUAAGUAUACAAAUAAUUACAAAUGAAUGACUUUAAUUUCAUCUAUUAUAUAUAUUUAAAUAUUUAUAUUUGACUUUUUACUUUGAAUAUUGGUAAAUAUAUAUAAUAUAUAUAAAUAUUUAGAAAUGAUGGACAAAGUCAUGUCUCUUUUAAUUUUAGUCAGUUUUAUUUUACUGAAACUAAUUAAAUUUAAUUUGUUGUUUUAUAGUGUUAAUUGACAUGAAAUUAAAGUAAUUUAUUUGCAAUUAUUUAUAUUUGAUGUAUACUUAUAAUUGUUUGACAAUUAAUAUCUUGUAACCGAAUUGUUAUAAAUUUUAGAUUUUGAUUUUGAAAUCAAAAUGUUAAUGGUUAUGAUUACUAUAUUAAUAUUAAUAAUAGUUUGAAUGUUUGUAAAUUAAAAUUCUAAUGUAUCCGAUUUAAAGUUAAAAAAUAUCACAAUUACCACAAAGAUCGAUUAUUAAAAUGAUCAAGUGAGAGAACAAAAAAUAUUUGUAUUUGAUUUUCUACUUUGAAUAUUGGUAAAUAUAUAUAAUAUAUAAAUAUUUAGAAAUGAUGGACAAAGUCAUUUCUCUUUGAAUUUUGGUCAGUUUUAUUUUACUGAAACUAAUUACAAUUAAUUUGUUAUUUUAUAGUGUUAAUUGAUAUGAGAUUAAAGUAAUUCAUUUGCAAUUAUUUGUAUUUGAUAUAUACUUGUAAUUGUUUAACAAUUAAUAGUUUGUAACUGAAUUGUUAUAAAUUUUAGAUUUCGGUUUAGAAAUCAAAAUAUUAAUGAUUAUGAUUACUAAAUUAGUAUUAUUAAUAGUUAUAAAGUUUGUAAAUCAAAAUUCUAAUAUAUUCGAUUUAAAGUAAAUAAAUUCACAAUUACCACAACGAUCGAUGAGUAAAAUGAUCAAGUCAGAGAACAAACAAUAUUUGUAUUUGAUUUUCUACUUUGAAUAUUGGUAAAUAUAUAUAGUAUAUAUAAAUAUUUAUAAAUUAUUGACAAAAAAAUGUCUCUUUGAAUCUUGAUCAGUUUUAUUAUAUUGAAAUUAAUUUAAUUUAAUUUAUUAUUUUAUAGUGUUAAUUGACAUGAAAUUAAAGUAAUUCAUUUGCAAUUAUUUGUAUUUGAUGUAAUUGUUUGACAAAUAAUAUUUUGUAACUGAAUUGUUAUAAAUUUUGAAUUUUGGUUUUGAAACCAAAAUAUUAAUCAUUAUGAUUACUCUAUUACUAUUAAUAAUAGUUUUAAUUUUUGUAAAUUAAAAUUUUAAUAUAUCCAAUAUAAAAUAAAAAAAUUCACAAUUAUCACAAAGAUUGAUGAUUAAAAUGAUCGAGUGAGAGAAUAAAAAAUAUUUGUAUUUGAUUUUCUACUUCGAAUAUUGGUAAAUAUAUAGUAUAUAAAUAUUUAGAAAUGAUGGACAAAGUCACGACUCUUUGAAUUUUGAUUAGUUUUAUUUUAUUGAAAUUAAUUAAAUUUGAUUUGUUGUUUUCCACUGUUAAUUGGCAUAAAAUUAAAGUAAUUUUUCUGCCAUUUUUUAUAUUUUUUGUAUAAUUGUUUGACAAUUAAUAUUUUGUAACUGAAUUGUUAUAAAUUUUGAAUUUCGGUUUUGAAACCAAAAUAUUAAUGAUUAUAAUUACUCUAUUAAUAUUAAUAAUAGUUUGAAUGUUUGUAAGUUAAAAUUCUAAUAUAUCUGAUUUUAAAAAAAAAUCACAAUUACCACACAGAUCAGUGAUUAAAAUGAUCGAGUGAGAGAAUAAAAAAUAUUUAUAUUUGAUUUUCAAUUUUGAAUAUUGGUAAAUAUAUAUAAUAUAUAAAUAUUUAGAAACGAUGGACAAAGUCAUGUCUUUUGAAUUUUGAUCAGCUUUAUUUUACUAAAAUUAUUUAAAUUAAAUUUAUUGUUUUAUAGUGUUAAUUGACAUGAAAUUAAAGUAAUUCAUUUGCAAUUAUUUGUUUUUUAUGUAUAUUUAUAAUUGUUUGACGAUUAAUAUUUUGUAAUUGUUAUAAAUUUUGGAUUUCGAUUUUGAAACCAAAAUGUUAAUCAUUAUGAUUACUCUAUUAAUGUUAAUAACAAUUUGAAUGUUUGUAAAUUAAAAUUCUAAUAUAUCCGAUUUAAAAUAUAAAAAAUCACAAUUACCACAAAGAUGAAUGAUUAAAAUGAUUUCACUUUAAUCAUUUUUAGUUUCAGCAAUAAAGUAAUAAAUUUUGUAACUCAAUUGUAUAUCAAUUGAGUCUAUCUCUUAAUUUCAAUUAUCAAAUACAUUAUUUCAACAUUUGGCAUAUUCAUCAAUCUCAAUAUUAAUACGUUACUUUAUUUAUUCAAGUCAUUCGUCUAAAUCGGUAUUUCUCUUCUAUGAAUUAUAUCAGUACAAUUGUAUAUAUAUAUAUAUAUAUUAUUGAUAUAAAUACUAAAUUGAGACAUAAAACUUUAUAUUAUCAUUUUUAAAUCCAUUUAAAUUAAAUAAAUAAAAAUAUACCCGCGCAACACGCAGGUUAACAUCUAGUUUUUAAUUUAAAACAAGACUUCUACGAUGUAUGAGACGAUCCUAACUAUGAUUCAAUCCAAUUGUGUUAUUGAAUAACGAAGAAUACACAGUAAUGAAGAAUACCUUCCUUCAAUUGCAAUUGAUUUGGGAGAAAGUAAAUUUACGCGUCCAUAGAUUCGACCAUUUCACCGAUCAACAACAGCUCAAUUGUUACUUGUUGGAAAAAAAUCGGAGAUAAUUAUUUCAAUAAUGCAAGUUUUUUUUUCACCUGUGCAUAAAUCGCCAAGCAGAAAAUACAAUUCCAAUAGCAAUAAUAAUUGACAUAAAAUUAAAUAUGAGACAAACACAAUUUUUUAACGUUGAAAACUUCUCUCAAAUUGAGAGAAUAAAAACCCACCUAGUCCAUGAAAACUUCCACUAUAAUAAUUAAUGAGUAGUUUUCAUAAUAACAAGUAGAGAACAUCAAUAAACAAUAAGAAUCUUAUAACAAUAUUCAACUAAAGUGGAUAUGUCAAAGUAACUCUCAGAAAAGUAAAACUAUAUCCUUUUGUGGUUUGUUACAGCUGUCUUCUUUCUUCACAUCUAAAAUAAGGAUUUCAAAUCUCUUUUAUAUCCUUCACAUGGGCCUAGCUCAAUAAUACCAUAUAUUCUUUUUUUUUUCAAUAAUAACAAUAUUAAUACUAAUAAUAAUAAUAUUAAAAAAAUUGGUGGGUUCCACUUGGGGAGUGAGCCCACCCAACAAAUCUAUCCCUCAUGACUCAAGUGAGAAGGUUCUGCUCAACCAUGUAGGCCUUCUUUCUACAAUAUAUCAUCUUCGACACAAGCAAUGUCUUUGUCAUCAUAUAUAAACCAUUCUCAUCAAUAUGAAUCUUCUCAAUUAAAAAUGACUUCAUUUCCAAUGCAUCUCGUAACCAAUGAUACCGCACUUCAAUAUGCUUCGACUUUGCAUGAAAAGUCGGAUUCUUGCUGAGAUGGAUCGCACUCUAACUGUCACAAAAUAACACAAACUUGUCUUGCUUGAGGCCUAAUUCAUGUAGGAAUUUCUUCAUCCAUAAGAGUUCUUUGGAAGCUUCAGUUGAUGCAAUGUACUCAACUUCAGUAGUGGAUAAAGCGACACACUUUUGUAACCUUGAUUGCCAAGACACAACUCCCCUUGCAAACAUCAUCAUAUACCCAGAAGUAGAUUUUCUAGAAUCACGAUCACCUGUCAUAUUUGCAUUUGUGUAGCCAUCCAACACAAGUUCACCACCUCCAUAGCAUAAACACACUUUGGAUGUGCCUCUAAAGUAUCUGAGAAUCCACUUCACUGCUUUCUAAUGAUCUUUACCAGGAUUAGAGAGAAAUCAACUAACAACCCCAAUUGCAUGAGCCAUAUCUAACCUUGCGCAUACCACAUCAUACAUCAAAUUACCAACUGCAGAUGCAUAAGGAACCUUCUCCAUCUCUUCUAUGUCUUUCUCACUUGUAGGACAUUGAUCAUAAUUCAAUUUAAAAUGAGUAGCAAGUGGCGUACUAACAAGUUUGCAAUUGCUCAUAUUGAAUCUCUCUAAAACUUUCUCAAUGUAAUUGUGUUAAGACAACCACAAUUUAUUAUUCUUCCUGUCACGAGUAAUUCUCAUGCCUAUAAUUUUCUUUGCAGGACCCAAUUCUUUCAUUGCAAAAGACUUGUUCAAAUCUUUCUAGAAAAUAAUGUAUCUAAUAAUGAUACUCUGACAUGUUCAGAACCCAGAAGAAGUAAAAGAGUCAGAAAAGAAAAAGAUUAUGGCCUAGACUUCUUUAUGUUCCUUGUAGAAAGUACAAAUGAUUCCAGUAACAGUUAUGGACCAAUUUGCUACAAUUUAGAGAGUGACCCAAACACAUAUGAAGAGGCAAUAAAGUCUCAAGACUCUUCCUUUUGGAAAGAAGCCAUCCAAGAGGAAAUGAACUCAAUCAUAGGGAAUAAAACUUGGAAAUUAGUAGACCUCCCACCUGGAUCCAAACCAAUAGGUUGUAAAUGGAUCUUUAAGAAGAAAAUGAAAGUUGAUGAUACCAUUGACAAAUUCAAAGCUAGACUUGUUGCCAAAGGAUUUACACAAAAAGAAGGUAUCGACUACUUUGAUACAUAUGCACCUGUUGUAAGAAUUGCAUCCAUAAGGGUGCUUUUGGCACUAGCUUCUAUCUAUAAGUUUGUAAUCCAUCAAAUGGAUGUUAAAACUGCUUUCCUAAACGGAGAGUUAGAUGAAUAGGUGUAUAUGAAACAACCUGAAGGAUUUGUUAUCAAAUGGCAAGAACAUGAAGUGUGUAAAUUAACUAAAUCCUUAUACGGGUUAAAACAAGCACCCAAACAAUGGCAUCAAAAGUUUGAUAAAGUUUUGCUCUCUAAUGGAUACAAAGUAAAUGAAUCUGACAAGUGCAUUUAUAGUAAAUUUCAUAAUGGAAACGGUGUUAUGAUUUUUUUAUAUGUGGAUGAUAUGUUAAUCUUUGGCACCAAUUUAGAUGAGGUAGAAAAAACUAAAACUUUCUUAUCAAAAAAUUUUUAUAUGAAAGAUUUAGGUGAAGCAUAUGUGAUUUUAGGAAUUAAAAUCAUUAGAGAUGGAGUAAAUAUUGGUUUAUCUCAAUCUCAUUAUAUUGAGAAAGUGCUAAAGAAAUUUGAUCAAUUUGAUUGCAAACCUGUUUCUACUCCAUUUGAUCAAAAUGUUAGUUUACAACCACAUAAAGGAUGCCCUGUGGCACAACUAGAUUAUUCAAAGGUAGUCGGAUGCUUGAUGUAUGCCAUGACCUGUACCAGACCUGACAUAGCAUAUGUUGUAGGCAGAUUAAGUCGGUAUACUAGCAAUCCAAGUAAAGAACAUUGGCNNNNNNNNNNNNNNNNNNNNNNNNNNNNNNNNNNNNNNNNNNNNNNNNNNNNNNNNNNNNNNNNNNNNNNNNNNNNNNNNNNNNNNNNNNNNNNNNNNNNNNNNNNNNNNNNNNNNNNNNNNNNNNNNNNNNNNNNNNNNNNNNNNNNNNNNNNNNNNNNNNNNNNNNNNNNNNNNNNNNNNNNNNNNNNNNNNNNNNNNNNNNNNNNNNNNNNNNNNNNNNNNNNNNNNNNNNNNNNNNNNNNNNNNNNNNNNNNNNNNNNNNNNNNNNNNNNNNNNNNNNNNNNNNNNNNNNNNNNNNNNNNNNNNNNNNNNNNNNNNNNNNNNNNNNNNNNNNNNNNNNNNNNNNNNNNNNNNNNNNNNNNNNNNNNNNNNNNNNNNNNNNNNNNNNNNNNNNNNNNNNNNNNNNNNNNNNNNNNNNNNNNNNNNNNNNNNNNNNNNNNNNNNNNNNNNNNNNNNNNNNNNNNNNNNNNNNNNNNNNNNNNNNNNNNNNNNNNNNNNNNNNNNNNNNNNNNNNNNNNNNNNNNNNNNNNNNNNNNNNNNNNNNNNNNNNNNNNNNNNNNNNNNNNNNNNNNNNNNNNNNNNNNNNNNNNNNNNNNNNNNNNNNNNNNNNNNNNNNNNNNNNNNNNNNNNNNNNNNNNNNNNNNNNNNNNNNNNNNNNNNNNNNNNNNNNNNNNNNNNNNNNNNNNNNNNNNNNNNNNNNNNNNNNNNNNNNNNNNNNNNNNNNNNNNNNNNNNNNNNNNNNNNNNNNNNNNNNNNNNNNNNNNNNNNNNNNNNNNNNNNNNNNNNNNNNNNNNNNNNNNNNNNNNNNNNNNNNNNNNNNNNNNNNNNNNNNNNNNNNNNNNNNNNNNNNNNNNNNNNNNNNNNNNNNNNNNNNNNNNNNNNNNNNNNNNNNNNNNNNNNNNNNNNNNNNNNNNNNNNNNNNNNNNNNNNNNNNNNNNNNNNNNNNNNNNNNNNNNNNNNNNNNNNNNNNNNNNNNNNNNNNNNNNNNNNNNNNNNNNNNNNNNNNNNNNNNNNNNNNNNNNNNNNNNNNNNNNNNNNNNNNNNNNNNNNNNNNNNNNNNNNNNNNNNNNNNNNNNNNNNNNNNNNNNNNNNNNNNNNNNNNNNNNNNNNNNNNNNNNNNNNNNNNNNNNNNUCACACUUGAGUAACAUCAAGUCUUGAGUUCAAUGAUAAAAGUACACUAUUAGAAUGAUUGCAAGUACUUGAAUAUAGAUACAUCCCAAAGACUGAAAGUACUUGGACCAUAAGUGUAAAAUUGGAAGGUUGAGUUUUACUCUUAAUAGACAUAUAGCAUAAAUUUGCUGAAAUACAUAUUAUGUGUAUUUAUGAUAUAGUCUACCUACGUGAGGAUGAAGUGAGGCCGCUUCGAAGAGUUAAAGGGCUUGACUCUUAAAUUCUCAUGAAAAGGGUACAUGACACAAGGCCUUAACAAAUGUGUCAUCUUUAUAAUUCUUUCGAUAGUACUGAGAUUUCAUGUGUAAGUUGUGCACACUUGUUCUAAUGAAUAACUGGUUCAAAGCUUGUCUACCAAUCUAUUCGAGAUAAGUGGAACUCAUAGCUUACUAAGUAGUGGUUCAAAUCGUAAGAUACCAUUAUCUGAAAUCAUGAUAUUUCCAAAAUUAAGGGACUAAGUAUAUUUUGAAAAUGGUGGGGGAUUUUGAGAUAUUUCCAAAAUAUUGGAUAAUAUAUGUAUGUAUAAUUGGUGGUAAUUGACAUGAUUUAAUUGUUGGUUCAAUUGGUUGUGUUCUAUAAGUGAAUUUGGUAUGUCCUGUGUUUGAUUCCUACAUGUGUUACAUUUUGCAUAAAUUAAAUUUUGAAAAGGCGCAACUAUUAAAUGAAAAUCGCGAAACAGAGGCAUUGUUUUGCCACCAGAACGUUAUAUGUAUAUAGCCAUUCAUAAACAGUGGCAGAAGAAGAAUUGCAACCCUUUCCCAAGUGACAUUAUUUUUCCUAUAAAUAGGGUCACUUUGGACAUAAUGCAAACAACGAAUUCAAGUAUUUGCCAUCCAUUUUCUUUCACUCAUUCUCAUAUACUAAGUCAACUUAUUCUUUUCUAAUGCAUGAGAAAAGAAUAUGUAACAUUAUUUUGUAACAUACUAUUGAAAGAUAUUCUUGGUGUAAUAGUGCAAAUCAUAUCAAGGUUUCUAAAGUACCCUGAAGGGGUUUCGCUAGUUAUCUCAUUUGCAUCCGAUUGGUGGGGGCGAAUCGAACCUAAAGGCUAGUGUAACAACACGCUUUGGAAUUUGCUACAUAUAAUCUUCAUCAACAACUUCACUAUUAAAGUCUUGCAGCAAUUGUCACCAACACAGAUCCAACAAUUACAAGAUGUGCGCAGAUGUGCUUUUGAUAAGGAUUGGUUGGAUGGUGUCGAAAAACGUGCUUUGACCUCAUCUGAAGCUGUUUUGGAGAGUAUCAUUCAAAAGGAGGCACAAAUUUUAGAAACUAAGGCUGCUUUAAGUGCCCCUCUUGGCUAUUAGGAUAUUUUUCCUUUCAUUCUCUUACGUUAUGUAUAUAAUUGGUAACCAUGCAACUGACUUAGGGUGAUAUGUUAAAUGUGAUUAGGUUGACGGUAUUUUUGAAAAAUGGAAAAUGAAAAAUGAAAAUAACAUGAUCCUCUAAUAAUAUAUAGAAUCCUCCAGAAACAAAUCUUGAAUGCUCAAGGAAACACAAAGCAGAUACAUGUUAUAACACAAUAUUGUUUAUUACCAAAAAUAAUAGAAUAAGUAAUAAUGAGGAUGAUUGGUUUUUAUGGUUUGUGUCCCAUAUUUGCAGCACAUUUGAUGCUAAUAACAGUGGCUGCUUCUUGAGGUAGUAACUUCUGUUUUGAAGUGAAAGCAUACCAAGAAUUAAUUGUGAUAUUAUGCGUUUUAAUUUUGGUAUGGUUUCAUUGUAAUAGACCCAAUUUUGGGGAUUGGAUCUCUUUUUGGGGUGUGUUUGUAAGUUUUUAAUUUUUUUUUUUUUAAUCUUUAGUCUCUUAAAAAUUUUCAUUUUUAUUUUGAUCCCUGAUUUUAAACUAAUUAAUGUGUCUCAUUUAAAUUUCUGAAUGUUUUUUACAGUAAUGUUUAAGGCAUAAUAAGAAAUUUCCAAAUAAAAUUUAGAAUUUUUAACAACUAAGAAAUUAAAUAUGAAUUUUUAAACGUUAAAAGCUUAAAAAUUCAUAUUUAAUUCAUCAUUUGUUAAAAAAUUAUGAAUUUUUGUUAUUUUAUCUCCUUACUAAUUUUAAUUAUAAUUUAUUAAUGCCAGUAAAUUAAAUUUAAAUUUUUAAUUUAUUUUUAUUAACUAAUGCCUUUGAAACAUACAAUAAAAUAUAAUUUGAUUUUACUAAUUCUAUUAAAACAUACAACAAAUAGUUAUUUUGCUCUAAAAUAUUCAAUAAACUUUCAACAGAAGCCAUAAUGAGUUUCUUAACAUUUAUUGUGAUAAACUGCAAAGUAAUUUCAUAAAGAACAAUACUCAUCUUCCUAAAUAAAAUAUUUGAUAAAUACUCCAAAAUAAAUUUCUUCCAUGCUUCCAAGGGAGUUUGCACUAGAGAUUUUGCGGGAAAAAUUCCCUACAUCAUAAACUAUAUUAUCAAAAAUAUCACAAACAAGAUAAUUGAGCCAAGUAAUGUAAAAAAAAGCAAAGCAUCACACCAUUUACAAAAGCACAAUUAUGCUUUUUUGUGGGAGUUUGAUAUCAUGAUGACACAGAAUGAACAUGGACGGUCCUCUCCAGAUCUGAUCGAGCAGCCUUUUCUUUUUCAAUUUCUUAGAAGAAGAAAAAAACAAAGUGCUUGAUUCAGGAACUUGAAAAACAAUAUUCCCCAUAGUUCUAAUAAGAUAGAUGGAAUUUAACAUUGUUACUAGAAAUACCAUAUCCCAUCAAUUUUUUGUUUUCAUUUUCAUACAUUGUUUUAAAUUUCAAUUUCAUAAUUUUCUCAAAUAUUCUACAUCAGGUCACUAACAUAUGUUCUAUCACAAGCACCCACAUCAUGUCUUGAAAGGUACUUGAAAAAGCAAGUUGACUUUUUUUUGUUAAAUUUUUCGAAAAAAACCAUGCAACAUGAAAGCAAAUAUGUUUCUUUAGUUGGUUCAUUCAAUGACCAAAGUAAUAUAAUAAUUGAAAGAUAAGAGGAAUUUAAUGCAGGAAGUUACUGAAAGUUUCAUAUAGCAUUGAUAUCACUUAUUGGUGCAAGUUUGAAGCCAAAAACAGAAACUUUACGUGCAGAUGCAUAAACUUUCGACGGCGUGACACAUUAUUUUCUUUGGUCCUUGUCACCAUUUUGCUUGGGAGCAAAUCAUAUAUUCAUACAUCAUUAAUAAUUUUCCCAAAAUUUAUUUCUUGAAAAAAAGAUAUAAAAAAAAAGUUUCGGAAUUAUUGGCUAUUUCUAUGACCAUAUCCAACUUUUUGCAAUUUUUUUGUCAUAUUAUAUCCUUUGCUCCAAAAAUAUUAUUGGAGAUUUAUGUUGAAUUAGCUCAAUUUUCACACUUAUUUCGAAAUUCAUACAAUCUCUUAAAAAAAUAUUUCAACAGAGAGAAAAAAAGAAAGAGAACAUUGUGAAUGCUAGAAGAAAAAACGAUAUAUUAAUAAACAAAAUCAAAGGAAAUCCAUUGGAAGUUAUAUAACAACCUAUCAAAAAUAUGUAUAUGUAUCACUUUGUAAAUCUUGGACACCCCUUUGCUACCCAUGUAACUUAGGAAAUUUGACGGUUUAAAUUAAUAAUUUCACUUAUAUGUAAUUCACUAUAUUAUUUUUGUUCAACCAAUAUAAGCUAUAAGCUAGUUGCGUCACUUUAUGCUCUUUAUAUGGUAACCAUCAUACAUGAUCAACAUCGAUCUCAUCAACCGAUUUCUAAAGGGACGAAUCAAACUCUUAUCCCUCUUUGGCUUCCAUCAAGUGGAACUGAGGUUUCUCCUCAACAUAUUUAGGAGAAUGUCUACAACAAUCAAGACAUAACGUAGGAAAAUGUUCAGAGACCAAAGUCUACUCAUGCAUAAUAACAUAUCAUUAAUUUAUUAAUAAUAUAAUUUAUCAACAUACUAAGCAACAACUUCAAUAAUGUAAAAGAGUCAAAUACCUAGAAAUCGUUCUGGUGUGAUGCAUAUUGGAUUCGUAGAGAAUAUGAUAUAAGUAUGCAAGAGAAGUAGCCCCACAUGUGUAUCAUCUACAUAAGUCGAGGUCUCGGAAACACUCUAGAUAGAAAACACUGGCAACAAAUACACUUUUGUCGCUGAAAAGGGUGCAACCAACUAGAAAAUUUUGAAACGCCCUCACAACCAUCUUUUAAAGUUGGUCACAACAACGCUGAUUGUAUACAUCAAGUAGCCAACUAAAUCGAACUUAUGUUGUCAGUGUGACAUUAAAUUCAACAUGACUAGGGGCUUCAGUAACUCCAAGCAAUUUGACUAAUAACUCUACAUCCACAUCUUUGUCAAAUAUUAUGACAGUAAAGAAUCCUCGUGUGAUCAGUGACCAAACAUCAUCAAGCGUGAUCAUCAUCUCUCCAAUCGGAAGAUGGAAGUUGUUGAUGUAUUCCACCUAAUGACUUAUAAGCAAAAAAAUUAUCUCAAAUUUUUAUCACUAAUAUAGGCAAAAAUUAACUAUUUUUAUUUGUUUAACACUAGUAUUCCUAAUAUAUCCUUACUUUAAUAAAAAAUAUUUAAUAUUAAUAAUUGAUUGUUCGACAUUCAAAUAGACAAUUUAAUAAAUUUGAAUUAGAUUUUAUAUAAGGAGGUAGUGUUGGGAGGGCUCACUCCCCAAGUAGAACCCACCAAUUUUAUUAUUAUUAUUAUUAUUAUUAUUAUUAUUAUUAUUAAUAUUAAUAUUGUUAUUAUUGAGAAAAAAAAUGAAAAAAAGGAGAAUACAUGGUAUUUCUGGACUAGGUCCAUGUGAAGGAAAUAAAAGGGAUUUUAAAUCCCUAUUUUAGAUGUGAAGAAAGAAGGCAGCUGUAACAAGCCACAAAAGGGAGAAGAGAAAGAAAAGUUUGGUUCUGGUGGUGGUAACAGGUGUCUAGCAAACUUGCUUCGUUUAAUCUAUAAAUUUAGUGUGUUAUUCCUACCACUGAGUUUGUUAUUUUAAUAUACAGUCUGAAUAGUUUUACCUUCUCUAAGAGUUACUUUGACAUACCCACUUUAGUGAAAGGUUGUUAUAAGGUUGUUAUUGUUUAUUGAUGUUCCCUAAUUGUUAUUAGGAAGGUUGUGGUGUACCAAUUAAUUAUUAUAAGGGAAGUUUUACUGGAUUAGGUCCCGUGGUUUUUAUUCUCUCAAUUUGAGAGAAGUUUUCCACAUUAAAAAAUUGUGUGUCUCAUAUUUAAUUUUCUGCCAAUUAUUAUUGCUCUUGGAAUUGUAUUUUUUGUUUAGCCAUUUAUCUGCGUGAUUGGAUCUGAGUGUAUAUCCACAUAUUGAAACUGAAAUAGAUGCUAACAAGAUGUGGAAAAAAUUUAAAAAGUUGUAUGAACAAAAGAAUGUGCAAAAUAAAGCAUUCUGGAUUGGGAAGCUGGUGAAUAUGAAAUACAAAUAUGGGGAUUCAAUGGUAGAGUAUAUGAGUAUUUUUCAGAAUACAGUGAAUCAGUUGACAACCGUAGAAAUUAAAUUAGAUAAUGAGUUGCAAGUGUUGUUAUUGUUGAGUUCCUUGCUUGAUAAUUGGGAAGUCCUUGUUGUGACAUUGACCAAUUCAACUCCAAGUGGAAAAAUGAAAAUGUCAACAGUUAAAGAGAGCAUGUUGAAUGAAGAAGCUCGAAGAAAGGAACGUGGUUUGAUUGGUUCUUCCUAAAAGUCAGAAGCAUUAGUUAUAGAGUCACGAGGGAGAAGUCAAACUAGAAACUUCCAUAGACGCGACAUCUCUAAAAGUCGUAGCAAGUCAAGAAGCAAGUCGAGGAGUAGAAAAGAAAUGGUAUGCUAUCAUUGUGGCAAAGCAGGCCACAUAAAAAGAAAUUGUUGGUUCCUUAAGAGAGAUUAAUCAAGGGAAAGAAAUGAAGACAAAGAAAAGAAAAAUGAUAAAGUUACAACACCAGUUGCAUCUGUU